CUUGGCGUCCAUCCGUCGUUGGUAAUAAGCAGCAGUGAGAUCGCAAAAGAAUGCUACACAACCAAAGACUUGAGCGUACUCUCUCGCCCAAAGAUGGUGGUUGUAGAUCACGUUAGCUACAACUAUGCAAUGUUUGGGUUCGGACCACCUGGACCCUAUUGGCGAGAAAUUCGCAAGAUCGUUACCUUGGAGUUGCUCUCAGUCCGGAAGGUUGAGCUGCUCAAGCACAUUCGAGUGUCGGAAGUGACUACUUUCUUAAAGAAUUGCACGAACUUUGGAGUACAAAGAAAAAGGAGGGCUCGAAAGAUGGAGUGGUUGUAGAGCUAAAGCAAUGGCUUGGGGACAUGACGCUGAACGUUAUUCUUACAAUGGUGGCCGGAAAGCGGUAUUCGGUGGCUGCCGCUGGGGAUGAGAAGAAAGAAGCGCGUAGGGUUCAGACUGCAUUGAGGGAGUUAUUUGAUUAUCUGGGCAUGUUUUUGGUGGGUGAUGCGGUUCCUUAUCUGCGGUGGUUGGAUUGGGGUGGACAUGAGAAGGCAAUGAAGAAAAGUGCAACGGAAAUGCACGCCAUUAUUGCAGAGUGGGUUGAAGAGCAUAAGCAGAGGAGAGCAAAAGGUGAUGCAAAAGGAGAACAGGACUUCAUAGAUGCGUUGCUUUCUGUGCUUGAUGGUGCAGACCUUGGCAGUUUUGAUGCUGAUACGAUCACCAAAGCCACAAGCUUGGUACGUAUAUACAAUUCAUUAGUUUUGUAGGCAAAUAAUUAACCAUAGAAGGCUGGAGUUAGACACUAAACACAUCAAGAUUUUAUUUUUACCUUUCAAUACUUAUAAGCUAAUUGCAUGGUCUAUAAAAAGAAAAUGAAAACAUUAGGCAAGAAUUUUUUUUUUGAAAACAUAUGAUUUCCAAUUUUAUAUAUGACUCAUGCGACAUAUUUGUCUGCUCACCAAUGGAUGAUGGUAGAGAGAUUAUCUUCUUAGAUUGUAUAUGUAGACUGUAUAUGUGAUGGUUGAUGGUUAGAUUCUUUCUUUAAAUCUUUAAGAAUGAAAUUCAACUAUCAACCGUUACAUUCUUUGAUUUACAAGAUGUGAUUUAAAAAGAUAAUCUCUUUAAUAUUUUCGUCGCCUAAAGAAUGUAUAGAUGUUAAUCAAGCAAAUACUCCUUGGGCAGAAUGUUAUUGCAGGAGGUGGCGAUACCACCAUGGUGACAUUGACGUGGGCAAUAUCGUUAUUGCUGAACAACCCUCACGUUUUGAAAAAAGCUCUAAACGAACUGGACACCAAAAUAGGCAAAAAAAGAGUUGUGAGUGAGGAAGAUAUAAGCAACUUGGUCUACAUCCAAGCUAUUGUAAAGGAGACGUUACGUUUGUACCCUGUAGGACCACUAUCAGGGCCGCGUAUAUUCACUGAAGAUUGCACCAUUGCUGGCUACCACAUCCGAAAGGGCACCCGGUUGAUCCCAAACUUCUGGAAGAUCCAAACUGACCUGAAAAAUUGGCCUGAGCCAUUCGAGUUCAAGCCAGAGAGAUUUCUUACCACACACAAGGAUGUUGAUCUGAAGGGUCAACAUUUUCAGUUUAUUCCUUUUUCAAGUGGUAGAAGAUCAUGCCCUGGUUUGGCAUUUGGUCUUCAAAUGGUGCAAUUUACAUUGGCUAGUUUUCUGCAUGCAUUUGAAAUCUCAAACCCGUCGAGUGCACCAAUUGAUAUGACAGAGAGUUUUGGAAUGACUAACGUUAAGGCAGCUCCACUCAAUGUUCUCAUCAAACCUCGCUUAUCUUCUGAACUCUAUGGAUAAAAGAAGAAAAUAUAGAAUAUCAAGUGUGCGAUAUGAAUAGGAGAUUUUCGUUGUUAUUAGUUAUAUGUAAUUAUAUGUCUAUAUCUGUAAUCGUAAAAUCAAUAAAUCAACUGCCAAUGUAAGAUAAAAAACCUAGCAAUAAUGAGUGUUUGAGAAUGGGCAUAUUUAGCAAUAAAAAGUACCCCAAAAAUGCCUCUAUUUACAUUUUCAAUUGGGCUCUCUUUUGGAUCUGUUGCCUCCGGAUUUUUUGUUUUUCAAUUUGUUUGUAAAGAACCCACCCAUUCGCCAGCACAAACAGGACAAAAUAAAAUAGUCCAUUUGCGAUUAUUAUCGAAAAGUUAAUUUUGAUUAGGUUUUUCUUAUUAUUGAUUGAAAAGCUGAGAUUUUCAUUACAUUAACUUGGGUCUAAACUGUUCUGAAGUGCAAAAUUUGCAUAGCAAUGAUAUGUUUCCUGCUUAGAUCACUUUGCAUAUCAGUAAUGUGAUAUCAAGAUAUUUCUAACAUUAUUUGUAGGGCAAGAAAGAAAUCCAAAAAAACCGAAUCUGAUCCGAAAAAUUUGAGCCCAACUUGAGAAAAAUCCAACCUGAAAAUCCUGAAUUAUUCGGUAAUCGAAACCGAACAAUUUUAAAAAAUUCGGUAUAAAAAUCGGGACCAAAGCACGGUAUGUUCGAUAAUACAAAACUAAACCGAUAAUAUAUAUACAUGUAUUUGAAAUAUAUGUGGCCGUUAGAUUUGCUUGAAGUUAGAUCUCAACCGUUUAUAAAAAAAAUUAAAACUCUCUCUCAGUCUCUCUCAGAACCUCCCAAACUCUCAAUCCCUCUCCUCGACGACUCCGACCCUCUCUGUUUCUUCUCCGGUGACACCACACCGCAUAUCACACCACACCACACCACAUAGUAAUUUACACCACACUGCCACACACCUGCAAGUUCAUCUUCUCUGGCAACACUGCACCGUCAAAUUCAUCGCCCAAUCCCACCCAAUUCAUGUUUCACCUCUGCGCUUGCACAAAUCUCUCUCCCUCUCGACCCUCCACCACCCAUUCCAAUAUUAGGUAGUCGAUGACCACCUCUCUCUCUUAGUCCGCCCACAUGAUAGGAUGCUGUGUAUUGUGACACAUAAGGUUGGGAGUGCUGACUAGGACAAGAAAGAAUUAGUUGGAAUUGGUUGGCGGUUAAGGGUUGUUAGGGAGUGACUUAGGGAGGAAGCUGCUUAGUUACUAUGUAAAGGAGUAUUGUAAAAGGGAAAGUGGUUGUUGUAAAGAUUGAUAUUGUAAUGAAAUAUACUAGUUACUGUUAUACUGAGUAAGAAGCAGAGUAAGGGUUGUAUCAUUGGUAACAACUCUACGAAAACUCCUUUUCUUUCAGCCGUCGACGCAAAGCUCUGUCAAUUCUCAACCAAUUAUCUAUAUCUAUGUGCAACUCCCUUACAAAUUAUUUUUAGUGUUGUUGGUUUUCUUGGGUUUCCCCAGCCAUGUAGAAGCUCAAGAAAGAGAGUCCUAGCAGACUCAAGCCUUGCUAGCAUUUACUCCCUACAGGUCCAUAUGCUUAUGCUUUUUCCAUGUGUUCAUCCAGAUGCAUUGCUUAUUCCAAGCAGACUUAUAAAGGAAGAGGGGAUGCAAGAACCAAUGGAACAGUAAGCCAACUACUGCGGAUUGGCUCCAGAGAGGAAGUACGUAGCAGUGUAAGAGUAUAUAACUGAAUCAUUUAGAUUGUGCCAUCUGUCAUUAAUACAGUGGCUAGAUUGAAGGAUACGAUUGGGAUAUUCUAGCUAUAACAAGAUCAAGAUAGUAUAUAGCUAUGAUUCUGUAAGAAGAUUGUAAGUAGAAAAAGUAAUAAAGAAAAUAAUAUCUCUUUCUUUCUCUAAAGUCUUCUCUCCUCUCUUUUCUUCUCUCUUAAGCUUUCUUUCUUCUUGUGUUCUAUGUUAAUGGCUUCCAUUUGUUAUGGUUAACAUGGUAUCACUCGCCCCCUAAGCUUCGAUCGUAAGCUUCUUCGAUUCUGGUUUCUUAUGCUUCCGCUCCAUUCUUUUCAUCUUUGUGAAUCACUUCUCUGAUUUCUGGGUUCUAGUUCUUGCCCUUUUCGUUGAUUUUUACUCUGAAAAUCUUUGCCCACCAACUGUUUGGUUUUAUUCCUCUGAGAGAAUUAUCACUAUGGUUACUGCAACUCAACUGCAAAUCUUGCAGUCUCCAAUUACUGGGUUGAUGUCCUCUGUUUCAACUUCAGUUUCGGUUAAAUUGGACGACUCCAACUACCUUCAAUGGCAUUUCCAAAUGAAGCUGAUGCUUGAAGGCUAUGGAAUUAUGGAUUUUGUUGAUGGAACUGUAAGAGUAUGAGUAUGAGACAAACAUUUAGAGCCGGAUUGUAUAAAUCUUUGUUUGGAAAAGUCCUGUUAAUGAGCCUUUUGAUAAAUCCUAUUUGUUAUAGAAUUAUGAGAGAGUAUGGUAUACCAAUUCUAUAUGGGAUAUGACUCAGUAUCAGGAGUCUAAUUAAUUCAUAUUGUGAUAUGGUUUAGCUGUUUGAGUUCCAUAAGAAUUCUAAUAGGAGAAUACUUGGAACACUGCUAUAUAUAUGUUUAGUCACUGCUCUUACAAGUUUUUUUAACUCAUCUUGUUCCGAAUACCUAUUGUUCGGUGAGUACUUGCGUUUUGUUAAAGAGGAGAAGAUUAAACCUAUUCGAAGAGUUGCAAUGGCGUCGUCUUCAAUCUCGGGUUCUGCAGGUCAGUUGCUAUGCAAGUUUCAGUAUUUUCUCAUAAGCAUGUUUGGUCUAGAUAUAUAUCUUGUUAUUAGUUUCUGAUAAUUCAAUUGGUUAACUUGUGAUUGGUGGUAUUAGGACAUACAUAUGUUUAUAUUUGUCUUUCAUGUGGUAUCAGAGCCAAAGAAUUUCGACCAUUGAAUUAAGAAAUCUUGGCUAAAGAACAAAAGCUUAAUCUGCUCAGUUUUUGCGAACCCAUAAAUUUUUUUUUUUUGGAGAUACUUAAACGACAACGUUUGUUUAAUUAAAAAAAAUAAAAUUUUUUUUUUCCUCUUAACACCGGAGUAUUGUUUCCUGGGCUUUCGAAUUCUUCUUCUCUGGGUUAUCCGUUCUGGGUUUUUUCGGAUUUUCUUUCUUUCAGCAGAUUGCGAUGACAAAGGAGUAUUGUUACAUUUCUUUUUCAUCAUUGCCAUCUUGCUUUUGUUCAUUCGUGCAUUCAUAUAUGAAUCUUGGAAGGUAUGAAUGAUUAAUAUCCUUCUCGUCUACGUUCUUACUGAAGAAUUGAAUAUAUUUGAAUAUACAUGGUAUAAUUUCUCAUCUUGUUGUUGGUAAUUCCAUAAGUAGAUAUUGCAGUAUGCUUAAAUUGCUUCCGUUGCUAUAGAAAUUUAUAACUGCAGUUGUUUCACCAACAUUGAAAUUGCUAAAUCCAUGUGAAGAGUGAUAUUUGAAAUUCACUCUCUUGAACAUGAAUAUAUAUUGAAAUUCCCUGUGAGUUGUUUAUUCUAUAUAUGUUCUCUCAUGGGAGAUUAUGAAUAUAUAUAUAUAUAUAUAUUAUAUAUAUAUAUAUGAUUAAAUUGAUUCAUAUUUGGAUUAGGGUGAAGUGAUUGAUGGAAAUCAGGAAUCUUAUUGGAUUCAAACUGUUGAUUUCAUUGUUGUCAUUAUGCAGCUUCACUCAAAACUAUAAAUUUGGCUGCUGUGCCUAUACUCACUGGUGGAAGCAAUUAUAGGAAGUGGAGAAGAGAAAUUGAAUUGCUCCUGACACUAAAUGAGUAUGACAUAGCGCUUAACAUGCCACAACCUGCAGCUCUUAAUGAUAAGAGUACUAAAUCUGAAAAAGUGGAGUUUGAAAGAUGGACAAGAGCAAAUAAGGUUGCACUGUCCAUAUUGGAAAGUGGUAUGACAGACACUGUGCGAGGAGGCAUAAAGAAGUGUGAUCUGGCAAAAGACUAUCUCACUGCUAUUGAGAACAAAUUUAAAGAAUCUCAUAAGGCUGAAAUCGCUCAGUAUAUGACACUUCUAACAACCUACAAGUUUGAGGGAGGAUGCUCAAUUAGAGACCAUAUCAUGAAGAUGACUGAUGCAGCUGAGAAGUUGAAUUCCUUAGACAUGAAUAUAUGUGAAAAGCAACUUGUUUUCAUGAUUUUGCAAGCCUUGCCUUUGAAGUUCAGUCAACUGAAGGUUUCUUAUAACACUCAAGACAAAACCUGGACAGUGGAUGAAUUGAUUGCACAGUGCGUGCAAGAAGAAAAUAGACAGAAGCAUGACAAAGGAAAGGAAGUUGAGAUUGUCAACUUUGUACAAACAUCCAAAGGGAAGAAGGAGUUCAAUGCCAAUUCUAGGAGUGCGAAUGCUGGUAAAACUUCUAAAUUCAAUUACUCUGAUAAAUCUGUUUUAUCUGCUAAAAUAUCCAAUUCCUCUAAAUCUAACAAUUUUAAAAAGAAAGCUAAGAAUAUUGAAAAAAUCAGAUGCCAUCACUGUAAAACAAAAGGUCACUACAGAAAAGAUUGUGAAAUAUUCAAGGAAUGGCUUAGGGCAAAAGGUAGAACUGAUAUUUAUGUCUGUGAAGAGUCAAAUCUCAUUGAAAUUCCUGCAAACUCUUGGUGGUUUGAUACUGGUGCGUCUGUUCACAUAACUAACUUGUUACAAGGUUUUAAACAACAAAAACAAUCAAAUUCUUAUAAUGUCUUUGUUGGUGAAGGAACCAAAGUGUUAGUUGAAGCUGUUGGCAUUGUUCAACUCAAGUUUGAAACUGGUUUUGUGUUACAAUUAGAAAAUGUCCUCUAUGUUCCUUUAAUGAAGAGAAGCUUACUUUCUGCAUCAAAACUAGUCCAGCAAGGCAUCGUUUUCAUUGGGGAUGUAGAAUGCAUAAAAUUUUUCAAAAGAGGGUCAUUGAUUGGAAAAGCCUUUUUGCAUGACAAUUUGUGGAAAUUGCAGUGUUCAAUUGUUAAUAAUAAUCUGCAUGUUUUGAACACCACGAACAAAAGAAUGCAUAUUGACGACACUUACAUGUUAUGGCAUAAAAGGUUAGGACAUAUUUCAAAAGAAAGAGUUUUGCAGCUUUCAAAGUUAAAUCUUAUACCAGUCAUUGAUUUCAAAAAUACAUCUGAUUGUAUUGAUUGCAUGAAGGGUAAAACAACCAAUGUAAGAAAGUUAGAUGCUAAGAGGAGCCAAGCUUUACUUGAACUUAUACACACAUAUGUUUGUGGACCUUUUUCAGUUAAAACAAUUUGUGGGAAUUCAUAUUUUGUGAGCUUUAUUGAUGACUUUUCUCGACACAGUUACAUCUUCCUUAUAAAAGAAAAGUCUGCAGUCCUUGAAUGUUUCAAAAUCUUUAAAACUGAAGUGGAAAAACAGUUGAACUUAGUAAUUAAAAUUGUUAGAUCAGAUAGGGGAGGGGAAUAUUUUGGCAGGUAUACAGAAGCUGGGUAACAGAAGGGUCCUUUUGCUUACUAUCUUGAGCAACAAGGGAUUGUGGCUCAGUACACCACUCCAGGGACACCUCAGCAGAAUGGGGUUGCAGAGAGAAAAAACAGGACAUUGAUGGGCAUGGUCAGAAGUUUAAUUUCAAGAUCCAAGCUACCUGGUUUUCUCUGGGGAGAAGCUUUGAAGACUGCCAAUUACAUCUUAAAUAGGGUACCUACAAAGUCAGUAUCAAAGACACCAUUUGAGUUGUGGACUAGUAGAACACCAACCUUUAAUCACUUUCAUGUGUGGGGGUGUAAAGCAGAAGCAAGGUUCUACAACCCUCAUGAAAGAAAACUUGAUCCAAGAACUAGUUCAUGCUAUUUUAUUGGAUACCCUGAGAAAUCAAAAGGGUUUAAAUUUUUCACAUACCAGGAUAUAAGAGACUCACAAUGCAAUUUUUCUAGAAGACGAAGAUGUGUCAGAUUUGGUCCUAGACAAUUUCGAGUUUGAAGAACUGGAACAAUAGUUUGAUAGCUCAUCUUCCAUGGAUUAUAAUUAUGUCUAUGUGUUACCAAGACGUUCUACAUCAAUCACUGAUUUAGAUAAAGGAAUGCUUGGAACUGACACUGCUGAAGUUGCUACUGAAGAUCAACUUGUGGAUCAACCUAUAAAUAUUUCUCCAACAUUAGUAGACUUAUCAAAUGAUCAAAGCACAGAUCAAUUGGUUAAUCAACAGCCCUUACGGAAAUCUACUAGAUUUAAAAAACCGGCUAUUUCUGCAGAUUUUGUCUAUCUCCAAGAAUCUGAGUUUGAUAUUGGGGAUAUUGAUGAUCCUAUGACUUAUCAACAAGCCAUUCAAAGUUCUCAAGUCAUCAUAUGGCAGAAAGCUAUGGAAGAGGAGUUAGAAUCGAUGACCAAGAAUAAUGUGUGGACACUGGUGAAUUCCUCAUCCAAUAUCAAGCCUAUUGGGUGUAAAUGGGUAUACAAGACAAAACGAGAUGCUGCUGGCAGAGUUGAGAGAUAUAAGGCACGUUUAGUAGCAAAGGGGUUCAAUCAAAGGGAGGGUGUAGACUAUAAUGACACAUUCUGACCAGUUUCUUCCAAAGACUCGAUGCGGGUAAUUAUGGCCUUGACAUCACAUUUUGACCUGGAAUUACACCAGAUGGAUGUAAAAACUGCUUUCUUGAAUGGAGACUUGCAAGAAGAUAUUCACAUGAUUCAACCUCUUGGAUUUAUUGAAAGGGGGAAAGAAAAGAUGGAGUGCAAGCUUAAUAAGUCAAUCUAUGGACUUAAGUAGGCUUCAAGACAAUGGUUUCUUAAGUUUGAUCAAGUAAUCACAUCCCAUGGCUUUACUGAAAAUAAGAUGGAUGACUGCAUCUAUCUUAAGUUUAAGGGAUCGAACUUUAUCUUCCUAAUUCUAUAUGUUGAUGACAUUUUGCUUGCAAGCUCAGAUUUGCAGUUACUUGUGGAAACCAAGAAAAUUCUGAGCACCAAUUUUGAGAUGAAGGAUUUGGGAGAAGCUCAUUAUGUGCUUGGAAUUGAAAUAGUGAGGGAUAGACAGAAAAAAUUGCUUGGCUUGUCUCAGAAGGGUUACAUUGAAAGGGUCCUUAGUAGGUUUAAUAUGGAAAGCUGUAAUAAGGCAGAUGUCCCAGUAAACAAAGGUGAUAAGUUCUCUCGAGAUCAAUGUCCUAAAUCUGAGCAUGAGAUUGAAUCGAUGAAGAUGAGGCCAUAUGCUUCAUUGGUUGGAAGUCUUAUGUAUGCAAACAUAUGUACUAGGCCUGACUUGGCAUUCAUAGUUGGUUUGCUGGGCAGAUUUCAAUCAAAUCCAGGUGAAUCUCAUUGGAUAGCUGCAAAGAAAGUUUUGAGGUAUUUGCAGAGAACGAAAGAAUUCAUGCUGAUGUAUGGUAGAGAGGAUUGUCUAGAGAUCAUUGGCUAUACUGAUUUAGAUCUUGCUAGAGAUUUGGAUGAAAUGAAGUCAACUGGAGGUUAUAUUUUCAUGAUGAAAGGGGGUGCUGUUUCAUGGAAAAGUGCCAAACAGACAAUUGUGUCAACUUCUACAAUGGAAGCUGAGUUCGUAGCAUGUUUUGAGGGAAUGAAACAAGAAGUUUGGCUUAGAAAUUUUGUUGCUGAAAUGAGGAUUGUUGAUUAUGUGAAGAGGCCUUUAAGAAUGUUUUGUGACAAUUCUGCAGCAGUGUUUUUCUCAAAGAAUAACAAAAGAACGUCAGCUUCAAGAUUGAUGGAUGUGAAGUUUCUUAAAGUUAGAGAAAUGGUAAAGAAGGGGGAAAUCGAAAUUCAGUUUUUGUCAACCAACUUGAUGAUUGCAGAUCCCCUGACUAAAGCACUCCCUAAUAAUGUUUUUAAGGGACAUGUUAUUCGAAUGGGGGUGUUAGAGUCUUUUGACAAGUGGGAGUGAAUCAUAAAGGUUGCUGUUUGAUAUUUCAUUGCUCUACAUAGAUGUUGAAGUUGCGGUUCUGCAAGCUGAGUUAGUUUUAUUUUGAUUGAGUUUAAUCUCCUCAGGUAGUUUAUUGUUGGCUAUUUUCAAUAAAGGGUUUUCAGUUUUUCCAUAUGGGAUUAACUUGUACUAGAAAACAAAUUUUAUAUAUGAGAUAGUUUGGUUUGCUAGAAAAUCAUUUUGUGAUUUUGUUGAAGCAUACUUUCAGGACUAUUGAUUAUACUGUUGGUAUUGAUAAAUUUUAGUUAUCAAAUGUGAUCAUGGCUUUAUUGUGUCAAGAUUGGGUUAUAUGAGUGGGAGUAAUGUGUUUUAACAUUACUGCACAUUUUAGUUCACAUGUUUACAAAUUGCAUAUUGGGUAUGUUGUGAUUGCUGGGUUAAUUCUGUAAUGGACAGAAGAAACUCAUCAGUUCCAUGCUUUAAAAUGCUUAGGUAAGGUUGUAUGUGAUAAUGAGCUUUCGGUUAACUUGGACUUGGUGAUCACUUCCAUGAUUUAUAAGGCUGUUAGUCAUAUUUCAUACUUAAGUGGGAGAAUGUAAGAGUAUGAGUAUGAGACAAACAUUUAGAGCCGGAUUGUAUAAAUCUUUGUUUGGAAAAGUCCUGUUAAUGAGCCUUUUGAUAAAUCCUAUUUGUUAUAGAAUUAUGAGAGAGUAUGGUAUACCAAUUCUAUAUGGGAUAUGACUCAGUAUCAGGAGUCUAAUUAAUUCAUAUUGUGAUAUGGUUUAGCUGUUUGAGUUCCAUAAGAAUUCUAAUAGGAGAAUACUUGGAACACUGCUAUAUACAUGUUUAGUCACUGCUCUUACAAGUUUUUUUAACUCAUCUUGUUCCGAAUACCUAUUGUUCGGUGAGUACUUGCGUUUUGUUAAAGAGGAGAAGAUUAAACCUAUUCGAAGAGUUGCAAUGGCGUCGUCUUCAAUCUCGGGUUCUGCAGGUCAGUUGCUAUGCAAGUUUCAAUAUUUUCUCAUAAGCAUGUUUGGUCUAGAUAUAUAUCUUAUUAUUAGUUUCUGAUAAUUCAAUUGGUUAACUUGUGAUUGGUGGUAUUAGGACAUACAUAUGUUUAUAUUUGUCUUUCAGGAACAAAUCUGUGUCCAUCUCAAUUUUCUAUUGAUUCAGAAGUUACUGCUUUUGGGUCUGGUGCAAGAAUUGAAUCAGAUUUGUAUAAGGUUUGGAAGAUGCAUGAUAGGGCUCUCAUACAACUUAUCACUGCUACCUUGUCUCCUAUGGCCAUUACUUGUGCAAUUGGGAGUAGUAGUGCUAGAGAUCUAUGGGUUCGUCUUCAAGAACAGUUUUCUACAGUAAGCAAGACCUCUAUUUUCCAGUUAAAGUCUGAUAUUCAAACAAUCAAGAAAGGGGCUGAUUCUGUCUCCCAAUAUCUUCAACGCAUCAAAGAAACAAGAGACUACCUUGCUGCUGCUGGUGUUACAUUUGUCGGUGAAGAUAUUGUCAUAUUGGCAUUAAAUGGUCUACCUGUAGAAUACAAUACUUUCAGAUGUGUUAUUCGUGGCCGAGAAAAUGUGAUUUCGUUGAAGGAAUUUCGUGCCCAGUUACUUGCGGAAGAAGCUACUAUUGAAAACAAUUCAUGUGUUUCCUUUCCUACUGCAAUGAUGGUAAAGAAUCAAGCUUCUCAUUCUGGUGCUUCAUCAUCUUCAUAUCAAGGAUCUUUCUCCAAUGGGUUUCACAAUUCUAAUGGUUUUCAUGGGAACUCUGGCCAAUCUUCGUUUUAUAAUGGUGGCAACAAGUCAAAAUUUAACGGUAAAGGCAAGGCUACAUAAUCAAGGCCAUAAAUUUGGUUCGAAUCAGGGACAAAAGUUCUAUCAUUCUAAACCUAUAGUUCAUGAUUUUGCUCCUGGUAUACUUGGUAGUCAUUCUCAUGUUAACAAUGGUACUUCCUCUUCAAAUGUCAUAUGUCAAAUAUGUUAUCUACACGACCAUUCUGCUGCUACGUGUGUGUAUAGAAGUGAUGAUUCUUCGGAGAAUUGUCAAAUUUGUGACAGAAGUAAUCACACGGCCAAGACAUGUUUUACAGAAACAAAGAAAGGAAUUCUCCAUCACAAAUGACUGCUAUGAAUACUGUUUUUCCUGGUUCAAUGCAACCUCAGUAUAUGAGUGCUAUGCCUCCCAUGUUGAAUAUGGGUUCUUCUCACAUGCCUCCCAUGUCCACUAUGAACUCAGUGAACAUGGUUCCUUCCAUGAAUGCAUCUUCUUCCUAUGUUAUGCCCACUAUGUCUACUGCAAUGCCUAAUCAAGUCCAUUAUCAAGUCUGGCUAACUGAUUCUGGUACAACCAAUCACAUGACGAAUGAAUUGAGUAAUUUGUCCAUUGCUUCACCAUAUUCUCAAAAUGAUACAGUUCAAACAGCAGCUGGUGAAGGUUUGCAAGUUUCUCAUAUUGGAGAUUCUCUUUUAAGGACUUCUCUACAGCCUAUAAAACUGAAUUCAGUUCUUUAUGUUCCAAAGCUAUCUCAUAAUUUGUUGUCUGUUCAUCGCAUUUGUCUUGACAACAACUGUUGGCUAAUUUUUUAUGCUUACUGUUUUUGGAUUCAGGACAAAGUCACAGGGAGAAUCUUGUUUAAGGGACUCUGUAACAAUGGAUUGUAUCCCAUUCCUUCCUUUACUACCAUACCUCAUAUACCUCAAAAACAAGCAAAUCAAGCUGUUGCCUGUCUUGGACAUACUGUCACCUCAAACUUGUGGCAUUGCAGACUAGGUCAUCCUUCAAAUCCUAUUGUUUCUCUUACACUUAGGAAAUCUAAUGUUGCUGUUAAUAAGGAUGUGUCUUCUAUAGUUUGUCAAAGUUGUCUAGAAGGCAAAUUUAGUAAACUUCCUUUCUAUCCAGCUACUUCCAAAUAUGUAAUACCUUUUGAAGUUGUACAUAGUGACCUAUGGGGGCCUGCACCUUGUGUCUCUGUGGAUGGAUUCAAGUACUAUGUCAUAUUUGUUGACGAAUGUACUAGAUUUUGUUGGAUGUUUACUUUGAUAAAUAAAUCAGAUUUUGUCUCCAUUUUCAUUUCCUUCUAUCAGUAUGUUUUUACUCAAUUUUCAGCCAAAAUUAAGAUCUUGCAAAGUGAUGGGGGGGAGAAUAUAUUAGUAAAUCUAUUCAAUCAUUUCUUGCUCAACACGGCAUUCUUCAUCAUAAAUCUUGUCCUUAUACCCCUGAACAAAACGGGUUGGCUGAGAGAAAGCAUAAACAUAUUGUUCAAACCGCUUUCACUAUGUUACAAAAUGCAAAUUUGCCUUCUACAUUCUGGACUUUUGCUUGUCAAACAGCAGUUUACUUAAUUAACAGAAUGCCAUCUUCCGUUAUUCAUAAUAACUCUCCAUUUGAACAAUUAUAUUCUGUAAUCCCAGAUAUUCAUCAUCUUCGAGUCUUUGGUUGUUCUUGUUUCCCAUUGUUAAAACCUUAUAAUAGCAACAAGUUCCAACCUAAGUCUACUAAGUGUAUAUUUUUGGGAUAUGCCUUGACCUAUAAGGGGUACAUAUGUUAUGAUCCUAGUCAUGCGAAAAUCUAUAUAUCCAGGCAUGUUAUUUUUAACGAAAUAGAUUUUCCAUAUGCCACAAUGGUUUUCAAACCUAAGAUUUCUGUGCCACAACCAUCUCAAACUACUGUUAGCUAUUCUUCUGUGCUUCCUAAUCUUGAAAAUAUCCUGGUUACCCCUUCAACAACCUGUCCAUCAACCCAAUCAUCUAAUACUCACCCUUCUCAGCCUACUAUACAAUCUUCACCUCAACCAAUACCACAAUCCAUAAACCCACCUGCUUCUCAAUCCAUUGUUGCUCAAGAUUCUUCUGUGGUACCUGAAUAUAGCUCAGAGACCUUGCAAGUGGUUCAUGAUAUUCCCCCAAUGAAUCUACACCCUAUGCAAACACGAUCUAAAAGUGGGAUCAUAAAGAAGAAAGUUUUCUUAGCAUCUGUUCACAGUGCAGUUGAGGUUGAUUUAACAACAAUUGAACCAGCCACUUACAAGUCAGCUUUAAAAGUUCCAGUUUGGUAUAGUGCAAUGCAAGAGGAGAUUGAAGCUUUGUAUUCACAGAAUACAUGGAGUUUGGUUGAUCUGCCACCUAAUAAGAAUUUAGUUGGGUGUAAAUGGGUGUUUAAAAUAAAAAGGAAUGCUGAUGGGAGUAUUGCCAGACAUAAGGCUCGAUUGGUAGCAAAGGGGUUUAGCCAGGAACAAGGAUUGGAUUAUGGGGAAACUUUUAGUCAUGUGGUAAAGCCUACUACUGUACGAUUGGUUCUUACUCUUGCUGCACAAUUUAAUUGGCCAUUAAGACAACUUGAUGUUAAAAAUGCAUUUCUUCAUGGCAUUUUAAAUGAAGAGGUGUACAUGUCACAACCUCCCGGGUUUGAAGAUUCCAGAUAUCCUUACUUAGUGUGCAAAUUACACAAGUCUCUUUAUGGUUUAAAACAGGCUCCACGGGCUUGGAAUGAUAGAUUUACUCAGUUUUUACCUCAAUUGGGUUUCAGCAAUACUUAUUCUGACUCUUCACUGUUUGUCAAGUGUGUUGGUGCUGAAAUUGUGAUACUUUUGUUGUAUGUUGAUGAUAUAAUCAUCACUGGAAGUGCAGCUGCAACAAUUCAACAAGUUAUUGCCCAGUUAACUACAAAAUUUGAGCUUAAGGAUCUUGGUCCUUUACACUUUUUCUUGGGUAUUCAGAUCACUAGAACUGCCUCUGGUUUAUUUUUAUCUCAAGAGAAGUACAUUCAGGACUUGUUGAAGAAAACAGAAAUGUUGGAUUCCAAACCUGCAGCCACUCCUUGUUUGCCUUACAAUAGGCUUCUUAAGGAUGAUGGACAACCUUUUAACAAUCCAGCACUAUACAGAAGUAUCGUUGGGGCCUUGCAGUAUCUUGUAUUUACCAGGCCUGACAUUGCCUUUUCGGUUCAUCAAGUUAGUCAGUUUAUGCAGGUUCCAAUGAUCUCUCACUUCACUGUAGUUAAAAGAAUAUUACGAUAUCUUAAAGGUUCUCUAAAUCAUGGCAUUAGUUACAGUAGUGGAGAGUUGAUCCUAAAGGCUUUUAGUGAUGCUGACUGGGCAGGAGACCCUAAUGAUCGAAGGUCAACUACUGGCUUAGUGGUAUUUCUUGGAAAUAAUCCUAUUUCUUGGUCUUCUAAGAAGCAACAGACUGUGUCUAGGUGAUGUGAAAAAUAAGUUAACACACAAAUUAAACCCUCUUUUUGACAAUUGUAGUAUAGAUGUAAGUAGGGUAUCGUUCUAGGCCGGGGAUUAGGAGGGAUUGCUAAUCUAUUCUAAAUUAAUUUAAAAAUAUUAAAUAAGACUCAAGGACACAAAACUAGGCUAAAAACUCUAAUAACUCGAAACACACUUAAAAUGACUCAAAAUAAUGAAAACAAUCAAAUUAAACACUAGGAACUGAAAUGGACGGAAAUUAAAUUAAAAGACUAACAAUAAAGAAAACUAACUAAAUAAUAUAAUUUAAUAAUGGAUGGGUGUUUGGUUUUGAUGAAAAGUAAAUUAAACUUAAUUAAAUUACAGAAUUGACAAAAACAUAAAAUUAAGGUAAAAUGAUAAAUGACGGACUAGCUAGAGGGUUCUUCUCCACACAUGACACAUAAGCAACCUAAAUUGAUUUUCAGUUGUUCUUUCAAUAAAUUGUGAAUUUCAAUACUCCAGAUUAACCGUGAACAGCACUAAUUAACCCUCAGUUUUUCCACAAGUUAUUGGGUUGGAUGAUUGCAUACGACAACCUAAAACAUUCCCUACAAGUUCCCUACAUGAAUUGCAUAAUAGAGAUACAAGCAAGAAUCAUUAAGUUCUAUGAAAAACAUAAGCAUUGACGAGCCACUCGUUACUAUGAUUUGCAUGAAACUUAUGCCAAGAAUUUACUUAACGUGAUUGUGACUAGCAACCUUCACUACUUGUGAAUAUAAGUUCAUAACGAUUAGGUGAAAUUCACUUAUAUUCUAGCAUCAAAUUCAUGCAUGUAAAUUAAGUAUGCAUCCUUAAUCGAAAUACAAAAAUAAGUUAUCUAUCAAGCAGUUAAGCAAAUUAAAUCACAACUCAGAAAUCACAACUGAAGGUAAUCAAUUUAUAUUACAAAUAUAUUCAUGGCUUUGAAUUAACCUCUAGCCAAAAUAAAUUUAAUUACACAUUAUUAAAACAGAAAUAAAAUAAAAGUUUGGAAAGAUUAAACCGAAAGAGGAGAGUGCUUGCUGCUUCUGUCUAUCUUCCUCCCCGUUCCGCGUCUUCUCGCCCCCCAUGCUCAAGCUGCCAAGUGGCAGCUUUCCUCUUCUGUCCGUGUGGCUGUCUGUGUGGACUCCCUCGGUUUCUCUCUCCACGCAGCUCAGCUGCUUCUGUUCCUGUCCUUCUCACGCUGCCCAAAGGCAGCCUUCUCCUUUCACUCACGCUGCCAAGGGCAGCUCUCUCCCGUGCCCCCUGCUGCACGCUGCCAAAGGCAGCUCUCUGCCUUCCACCAAUAUCCCCUUACUACUAGUCACGCCCUCCUUCUUUUAUAUCUUCUCUGCGCUAUCCCUCUCUGUCCCUUUAUUACUUUUUUUUUAAUUUUAUUUUCUUUUCAAGCUGUCAGUCUCUCCACUCCACCUUAUUCUUCUAUUUUUCUUUGCUUUUAUUAUCUGCCAUGCCUCUUUGUACCACUGACUGCAUCAUGAUGUUGAGCAAUUGCUAAAGCAUCUGCCAACGAGUCCCUGUUCUGCCUUCUUGUUUCUGUCGGUCUCCCCUUAUAUUUUUCUUCUUUCCGUCUGUCAGUCCAUGUGCCUUCUUUUCAAGGUAUAAGCUGGAAAGUAUUUUUGGCAACAAGAUUCUUUUGUGCUAUUUUUAUUUUCUUUGCAUAACAAAUCCUAGAAACACAAAAAUAACGUAAAUAUCUCAAAAAUAUAAGGAACUAACUAAGAAAAGACGAGUGAAUUCGAAGUAAAAAUAUAUAUAAAUAUGAUCCGAUCACUAGGUCGUCAACUGAGGCAGAGUACAGGGCGUUGUCAUCCACUGCUGCCGAGUUAGAUUGGGUGCAGCAACUUCUUACUUUUUUGAAAAUCAAACUCGAGUAUACUCCUGUUUUGUUUUGUGAUAAUAUGUCUGCCAUUGCACUAUCCUUUAAUCCUGUGCAACAUCAACGGACAAAACACAUUGAAGUGGAUGUUCAUUUUGUCCGCGAAAGAGUGGCCAACAAGAAACUCCUUGUGCAGUUUGUUUCCUCCUCAGAACAGUUUGCUGAUAUACUCACUAAAGGUCUUAGUUCACCAUUGUUUACUACUCAUUGCUCCAACCUCAUGCUUGGGUCAUCCCAACCUGAGCUUGAGGGGGGAUGUAAGAGUAUAUAACUGAAUCAUUUAGAUUGUGCCAUCUGUCAUUAAUACAGUGGCUAGAUUGAAGGAUACGAUUGGGAUAUUCUAGCUAUAACAAGAUCAAGAUAGUAUAUAGCUAUGAUUCUGUAAGAAGAUUGUAAGUAGAAAAAGUAAUAAAGAAAAUAAUAUCUCUUUCUUUCUCUAAAGUCUUCUCUCGUCUCUUUUCUUCUCUCUUAAGCUUUCUUUCUUCUUGUGUUCUAUGUUAAUGGCUUCCAUCUGAUAUGGUUAACAAGCAGAACACAGAUUAUCCAAGAGGGUUCGAGUCAGAUUGUUGCUUACGGGAGAGGAGGUAAGAGCUCAUAACUAAUGGGAGAUUUCUCCAUGGCAUUGGCUUUUGCACUCGAAAAUGAAGGAAAGCUCGGGAGGACGGAUGCCUAGCACAAGUUCAAUGCUUUAAAUGAAGUUUAUAAAAUUAAUGAUUUAAGUUUUUAUGAUGAAAAUACAUUAUUCAAAAAAGGUGAAAUAUGUUCAUUACCCUGAGUGAAGAAUGCAUGUAUGGAAGGAUUCUACUAUAAAAAUAGGCGUGGGCAUAGAAACCAUAGAACCGUGAAACCGAAUCGAACCACGCCAAAAUGGACCGUAAAAUACCGUGUUAAUAAAAAAAAGUCAACUUAGGUUCAAGAACCGGACCAAACCGUUCAUACUAGUUUCGGUUUUGGUUUUCAUCUUGAAAGAAUCGGGCAAACUGAAUAUCAUCUCCUUUGGAUCCCAAUUUUAAUAUCAUCUCCAUGCUUCAUUAGCCCAUACUGCUCCCAAAAGAAUAUUCGUCGUUAAAAGGAUAAACUCUAGACUAAUAAUACAAUAACUGUAACGAUUCAAUUAUUGAAUCAAUUGAUAUCCUUAAUGAUUUUUAGGCGAAAUUAAAAUCGUGUUUCAAAGUUUUGACCUUGAGUAAGGACAUAUUGGUCACUACAUUUUGGAAAAGGAUUCUCGUCGGAUCCUUUUUUUGGGGAUCUGAGGGAUCCCGUGAUCAUGAUUGUUCAUCGUACAUCGUGUGGUUAUAAAUCAUUUUAGAUUUUAAAUUUUAAAUUAAAUAUAAAUAGUACCUACCGAAAAAUGACCACACGAUAUGAACAAUCAUGAUCACAUAAUUCUCCAACUCUCCAAAAAAAGAAUCCAACGAGGAUCAUUUUCCCUAGUGUUUUCGUUAUUGAUAUGCAUUAAAGAUAACUCGUCCUCCUUCAUAGUAAUGUGGUACGAAACGGUCGACGAGCGGGCGAGGGGUGGCUGUCGAGAUGAUGGGAUGAUUGAUUUUUUGUGAGUUUAUUUGUAUUUCUUUAAUUUUUAUUAUUAUAUAAAGAAAAAGGUAAAUUACAUUUUACAUCCUUAAGUUUAGUGGGAUUACAACCUCGUACAACAUCUUUAAAACAUUUCAAUCUCAUACAUCUACUUAUCAUUUCUUUCAAUUUCAUACGUUCGUUAAAAAAUCUAUUAAGUUAACCAUUAAGUGAUGACGUGAUAAACAUAAAGUCCUUGAAAAGAAGACAAAAGGAAAAGAAAAAAAAAAGAAUAAAGCUUUAGUUAACUAAUAGCCACAUGAUCCCAUUAAAAGAUAGGCUUUUUAGUCAAAAUAGUUUUUGAGAUUUGCAUAACACAUCACUUUGGUCCUUAAGAUUUGAAAUCAAUAGAAGUGAUCUUUGAGACUGUCCACUAUCAAUCAUUUUGGUCAUUCCCUGCAAAAUUAUGCUAAAUAAGGAUCAAAACGACAAAUAUACUUUCAAUUUAAUAAACAAAGGGCAAACAUGAUUUGACAAAAUUAAGGGUAUUUUGGUCAUUCUAUUCUUAUUUAAUGGACAUUUUUCAAGGAAUGACCAAAAUGAUUGAUGAUGGACAAACCAAUUCAAUUGAUAUCAAAUAUCAUGAACCAAGGUGAGGAGUUAUUAAAUCUCAAGAACUAUUUUGGAUAAAAAGCCUAAAAGAUAUCUAUUGGCUGAGCAUGUGAUCCCUAUUUUUUACCUUCACCCGAAGAACCUAAAUAUUAUAGGAUUUAAUUUAAGUUAAGUCCAAUUUUGCAAGUCAAUAUUAAGAAUAGUCCAUUUUUCGUGAUCUUUGACAUAAGUUCAUCCCACGUCAUUUUUAUUAUCUUUUAAAUUAUUAAUCUUUAUUUCAAUUUUGCCCUCAUAUUUUAAAAGGAAAACUAAUGAAAAAGGUUUGAGAACUUUGUGUUUUAACGAUAAAGACAAAAUUCCCUAUUUUAAAUUAUCUCUAUUCCUUUUUUCAAGGAUUUUUAUUUCUCCUUUUAAAUAUCCAUUGCUAGUUUGAAUUUCUUCUUUUUGAAUUCAAAAAAGAUGGGGCAUCCCUCCAUUUGUAACCAGAGUAAGAUUCUCUCUCAUCCUAAUCUCUAUCUACUUCCAUCCCUUUCUAUUUAAACGGUUGCGAUUACGCUACGUCUAUAUCUUGUUUUGAAUUUUUCUUGGCAACUAAAAGUUCGAUCACAUCACAACUCACCUCAUGAGAGACUAUGUGUACAAAAUUGCCAGCAAAACUAGUAAAGGAACACUAUUUACAUACAAGCAACAACAACUUAAAAAAGGAACUGCAAAAGAAACAACUAGUGACGAUUACAAGAAAGACUCUGCAUUCAAAGCUACCAACAAAGUCAUCAAUUGCAUUACGAUAAAUCGUACCAACACCAUCAUGAGACAUGAAAUAAAGACUCAAGCUCAAAAAGACAAAUCUAACAUGGACAAAGCCGCCCUAUAAUCUAGAAAACCCACAUCAUAAAAAUUCAACUUCAUCUCUUGCCAAACCCACAUGGAAAGGCAUCCUCUCUGGAUCCAUUCCACCAAAUCAAUUAAUCAGAGCCCUUGAAAUUUGAUCAAAUAGCUACAAAUAUGGGCCCCUUUAAAAGUUAUAAUAACUUUAGCUGUUGGAUCAAAUUUCAAGGGUCCGAAUUAGGUGAUUGGAUGAAUUUGGUGGAAGGGAUCCGGAGAGGAUCCCUUUUCAACCCACACUACCUAAAACAACCAUAGAUGGGAGAUUUUGAGAGAACGAUUUGAUUGAAAAAGGACAAAAAAAUAAUUGAUUGAGAACUCAAAUAUAAGCAAGCUUAGGCACAGACUUAAUCACCCCAAAAGGGACUAAAAGAAUUAGUAUGUCAUUAAUGUGUGAUAAAAAAAAAUCACUUGGCGGCUUAGGCACAACAAUUUACUUUUUUAAGGACAAAAAAGACUUACAGAGGCACUUCAGCCUCCCCUUAACCAGUAUUGUGUAAAUUACACGCGUCACUAAUCUAAUCCAAAAUGUACGCGAAUAAAAUAUGAGUUUAAAAUUUAUUUUCAAUCAGUGAGUCAUCCCGUAGCGGUUAUAAAAUGACCGUUAUUCAAUGUAUAAAAAUCAUAAGUGCUAGACCAAUUCUAGUGUAGAGGUUUUUUUGUAAGAUUAUUUUCGUGGGGGCAAUGAUAUUAAAAUUAUGCACAGAUCACACAGAAGACAAUCCUAUCUUUACGUACAAGUUACAUCGAACGGAUAAGUAACGGGUCCAAACCAUCGUUGAGAAAAAAUGUGGGACUGCGCGAUUUAACUAUUUGAUCGUUCUUUAGUAAAUUGUGUAUAGACAAGAAAAUAUUAUGGGAUCAGUUUAAAUAACAAGUCUAAAGCCAUGUAGAAAGUUGUCGAAGAAAUAUCACACUUUUCACGAAUCAGCUUGAUGCUCCUUAAUUGAACAUUUGACUAAUGAGUUUAUAAUAUUAAAAAUAGCAAAUUAUAAUAUCAGACAACGUGGCAUAUGCGGGUUCAUAUGUUAUUUAUUUGGAGUAAAGAUUCUUUUUGGAUAUAAAAAAACUAAAUAUUAAAAAUAUUAUGGGAUCAGUUUAAAUAAUAAGUCUAAAGCCAUGUAGAAAGUUGUCGAAGAAAUAUCACACUUUUCACGAAUCAGCUUGAUGCUCCUUAAUUGAACAUUUGAAUAAUGAGUUUAUAAUAUUAAAAAUAGCAAAUUAUAAUAUCAGACAACGUGGCAUAUACGGGUUCAUAUGUUAAUUAUUUGGAGUAAAGAUUCUUUUCGGAUCUAAAAACACUAAAUAUUAAAAAUAGCAAAUUAUAAUAUCAGACAACGUGGCAUAUGCAGGUUCAUAUGUUAAUUAUUUGGAGUACAGAUUCUUUUCGGAUCUAAAAAAACUAAGCCUAAGGAUCAAAUGAUCUUGAUCGUUGAAAUUUGAUAUAACGGCUAUAAUUAUUAUAACUUUUAGAAGGAUCCCUUAUUUGUAGCAGUUGAAUCAAAUUUCAACGGUUUGAAUUAUUUAAUACCUAGACUCAAUUUUUUUAAAGGAAAACUAAUGAAAAGUGCUUGAAAACUUUGAGUUUUAUAGAUAUGGAUAAAAUAAAGGGCAAAGUCAAUAGUAGCAGGUUUGACUUCUAAGUGUAAAAAUGUGAUUUUUCGUUAAAGUGAACAAUACCAUAGGCUUUUCGUUAAAAUUUUUUUUUUUUUUAAAUCUAGAGAGAAUUUGUACUCAAUUAUUUGAGGGUUCUUUCAGGGUUAUCCAACAAACGUGAAAAUUGAAACAAAAGUGUUAUAUUAAGUUGCAGUGUAUCAAGCUAAUGACGGUGUGUGUGAGUGUGACCCACAAGACUCGUGUGGCACCAAGACUAUGGAGAAAAGGAAUGUUUUUGGGGCAAAACGAUAAUGGUUUGAUUAGCUUUUUUUUUUUAAAAAUUACAAACUUCAAAUAGAGUAUCCUAGAUCAAAUUCGAGUGAUCCUUAAGCAAACAGUUCCAAAACAAAAAAUAAGGCCAACUUUACCAAUCUAAUAACUAUCAUAUUGGUGGAUCUUCGAAUGUAACUAGCAUGAUAACACAUUUAGCACUCCAAAGCCAAAAGUACUUUAAUCUCGGCAACUAAAAAUUCAAUCACUUUAAAUCCGCCUCAUGAGAAACUCUACACACAAAAUUGCCAGCAAAACCAGUAAAGAGCACUGUUUACAUAUACAGGCAACGCCAACUUCAAAGAGGAACUACAAAAGAAACAAAUAGUGACUGUUACAAUAAGAACUCUGUACACAAAACUACCAACGAAGCUAUCAGUUGCAUCACGGUAAACCCUAUCAAUGCCACCAUGAGACACAAAAAGACACAAGCUCAAAAAGGCAAAUUUAACAUGGACGAAAGCCGCACUAUACCUAGACAACCCACACCAUAAAAUUUCAGCUCCAUCUCUUGCCACACCCCCACACUAUCCAAACAACUAGAGAGGGAAGAUUUUGGGAGAAAAAAUGGAUUGAAAAAGGACAAAAAAAAUAAGUGACAGAGAACUCAAAUCUAAGCAAGUUUAGACACAAACUCUGAAAUCCCGUUUCCGAAAUUUCAAUAUUUUGUACGUAUCUUGUAGUUUAAAUUUGUAUUUCGUGAUUACGAUAUCUUUAUUAGUAAAUUUUAGGAAUAUUAAUUGAUUGGUUAUCGAGUAUGAAGUUUUAUAAUCAAUCUUUAGCAUUCGUCGACCUUUUGAAGUUACAACUAGUGUUUUCAAAUAGAUCUCGAAAUCACGAACACAUAGGUGAAAACCAUUUGCGAGUCCGAAUUAUAACGGUAUGGUUAGGAACGUUCGAAGUUGUGAUACUAUAGAUUUUAGGAAUUAUUUGUAUCCCACUUUGUGGGUAAGAGGCCCAGACCGAUAUUUGGGUUAAAGGACCAAUUAGUUAGAAGAGGGAAGAGACCAAUCAGAUUUUAGAAAAGGUAGGCAGCAGCCAAUCAACAAGGGAAGAAAAGAAAAUAGGGAUUUUUCCCCUUCCAUUUCUGUUGACCGUACACCCACGACAACACCUUCGACCUGGUUCUAAUUCUGGCCAUUUCCACCAUAUUUUCAGGUGAUCUUCAACCAUCCCACACCUGCCACCUCUUCCAUUACCUCCCAUCUACCAUCUCCACCCAAUUUCGAAGGAAUUUUAAGCCCAAAAACCAUAUAAACCGUGCGGGUGCCGGGAGGUUUUUCACUGCGAUUCCGCUGUUCCAGCGAGUUUCACCACUCACCACCACCCUUAAUCAACUUCCCUUGGACCUAGGAACAAGACCCAAUCAAUUGUAGGGGCAUUGGAACACCGAGGAAGUCGCAUCGAAGAACACCCACCUUAGGGUUUUCGAGGGGUGCGAGCCAAUUUGGAGCCUUCCCGGCCAAAUUGGACUUAGCCACAGGCAGUGAUAGAGUGUGACACCUUGACUCUCAUGUUAGGGUGUAUUAACACGGACUCCAGGUGAGUGACUUUAAUAUAUGUGAUAUUGUUAUUACCCUGAAAACUCCCAUGCUAGUAUACUUUGUGUAUACAACAUGAAUUUCUAAAGUAUGUUUUAUGCUAAAUAAUUGUUUUUAUAAAGUUUACCAUCGAUCAAUUUUAUGAAUUGUUAUGUGACUUGCUUAUUGAAAUGUUUGUUAAAUUGAGGGCUAGUAGGAGACCAUGACCCUACUUGGUUAAUCCGCGAUAGGGGGUUACUAAUGGUCCCGCUUGGUUAAUCCGCGAUAGGGGACCAUAUUUUCUAAGGAUCGUGCUUGGUUAAUUCGCGAUAGGCGAUCCUUGUAUCUUUAGUAUGGCCAUACACACACUUAGGGAUGAUCAUGCUUGGUUAAUUUGAGAUAGGUGAUUAUUGACUAACAAAUGCGUUUGAGUGACUCUGCUUGGUUAAUCCGCGAUAGAAGGUCACUGCCUACUUGGUUACUACAUGGGUGGUUCUGCUUGGUUAAUCCACAAUAGGGGGCCACUUCUUGUUUGUUUACUUAUGUAGGCUUCGGCCGAACUGUGUCACUCUAACUCUAGUUUUUAGUGUUUUCAUAAACUAUAGUUUCGAGAACCUUGAGUUUUGACUUAGAAAAGCCGUUGGAUGUCUGGGUGACUCCUUCAAAGAUAUCAAAGGUUUGGUACUGAUUUCUUAUGAAUGUUUUAUAUUCGAGGUUUAUAAACUGUGAUUGAUGGUUGGUUUUAUUAUUAUUAUCACAUGCAUUGUAUUAUUGUCACUCACACGAGUUUCGCAGCUUAUCCGGGUUGUUGUUUGCUCGGUGCACGAUUCCAAUGGUGUAGGCAUUGAUCUUACAGGUGACAGGUCUGAGUAGCUUCUGAGAUGUAUGUGGAUGGGGUAGUAGUGCAGUUAUCAGAGACUUGGAGUGUUAGGUUACCUCUAUAUCCUCUCUUGUACUUUAUCUUUUGGGACUUUCUUUUGAGCACCUCGAACUUGUUCUUAGUCUAGCGAGGGUUGUACUUCUUUUUGGGAUGUACAUAUUUGUAAAUAUCUUGUGGAGAACUUAGUCACCUCCAUAUUAUUUUGGUUUAUUAGUUAAAGUAUUUCCUUCCGUAAUUUAUGCCGUAUUUGACGAACGUUAUUUCCCUUUGUCACGUGUCGACUCUCGAUGUAUGUUGGGAUCCGGGCGUCACACAAACUUAAUCACCACAAAAGGGACUAAAAUGAUUAGUAUGUCAUCAAUGUGUGAUAAAAAAUUACUUGGUAGCUUCGCCACAACAGUCUACCUUUUGAGGAUCGAUAAGACUCAUAGAGGCAUUUCAACCUCUCAUUGACCAUUAUCGUGUGAUACACAUGCGUUAAGAAUCUAACCCAAAACCAACUGUGUAUGAUAUAUGAGUAUGAAAUUCGUUUUCAAUCAGUAGGUCAUCCCUUAGCGUGGGGGCAAUGAUAUUUUUUUCAGUAGGUCAUCCCAUACUGAAAUUGUCCCCAAUGUGUAAAUAUCACGAGCGCUAGACCAAUUCCAGCGUAUAGUUGUUUAUUUGUAAGGUUAUUUUCGUGGGGGCAAUGAUAUUAAAAUUAUGCACGCAUCACACAGAAGACAAUCCCAUCUUACUUGCAUGUUGCAACGAACAGAUAAGUAAAGGGUCCAAACCGGCAUGUCAUAAAAUAAUAAAUCUUCAAAAUAAUCAAAAUUCGUUAAACGUCUAACAAAACGGGGGAUUGAGGAGUUUUAAUAUUUUGUCUUUUUUAAGAGAUAUGAAAAGGAAAGGGUAUUUUUAAGGGAAGAGGAUCCUCUCCUGAGUUCAGGAUGGAAAUCCUCCUGAUCUGAUAAGAUCAUCUGGACCGUUCAAAUUUAAUCAAACGUUUGUAAUUAUUAUAACUUUUAGAGAACCCUCCUAUUUAGAACCAUUGAAUUAAAUUUGAAUGGUCUGGAUGACCUGAUCAAGAGGAUCCCCAUCCUGAGCUCAGGAGGAUCCUCUUCCAUUUUUAAAUUUACACGUAUUAAUUAUGAUUCAAAAAUAAAAUUAAAUAUAUGAGGGUCGGUUUGGUUAACCGCACCCUAAAAAUUUUGAGAAUCAAUUGCCAAACCGAUUAAGAUCGGUACGGUUUGGUUUAGCCAUCGAAAAUAAAAAAUAAAAAAAAACCAAACCAAGCUUCAGGUGGGAUUCAAGCAGUUUAGUCGGUUUUUUUUUUAAAUGCCCAGCCGUAUGUUCUACGUAGAACCCAACGUAAUUUUUUAUCUAAAUAAUUAAGAUCCCCGUAAGCAAAUUCAUCAAUUAUACUUUGCUUUACAGAUUUUACAUUUUUCGAAUUCUUAAAAUAUUCCUAUUGCAUGUUUGAUGUACACAAUUAAUUCUAUAUGGGUUCUUAGGUUUGAUGCUCGCUAAAGGUAAAUUUGAACCCCAUUAUUACUAACUCAUUGUGAGACUUAGUCCACUCUCCACCAUUUUAAUGUAGAUAAUAUCAUUUGUUAAAAAAAAAAAAACAAUAUAUCUUUUACCUUUUAGUUAGUCAUAAUUUUUUCAUUUCUCCCCUCAACUCGGAGAUAAAGAGUUAUGUAUUUCAAUACAACCAUACGUAAUAAUCAAGCCCUUACUUCUAUAUAUACGUGUGUGUAUGACAAGGUGAUAAAUCAACUUAAGCCUUUUCCCAGUUCAGCAAAAAUCAUUUUGCCUCAAGCUUCUAAUGACAGUUGCAAAAAUGGAUUCUCUGCCUUAUGCAAACUCUAUCACUGCUGGCCUGUUCACAGUAAUCAUCGUGUUCUAUUACUUAUCUCGAAGAUGGAGAGCUUCCAAUCACGAGGGCAAAUUAUCACCACCAGAAGCCAAGGGUGGAUGGCCUAUAUUUGGUCACCUUCAUUUGUUCGGAGGCCCCACACCUCCUCACAUAACUUUGGGAGCCAUGGCGGACAAGUACGGACCCAUUUUCACUAUCCGCCUUGGCGUCCAACCGUCGUUGGUGAUAAGCAGCAGUGAGAUCGCAAAAGAAUGCUACACAACCAAUGACUUGAGCAUACUCGGUCGCCCAAAGAUGGUGGUUGCAGAUCACGUUACCUACAACUAUGCCAUGUUUGCGUUCGGACCACCUGGACCCUAUUGGCGACAAAUUCGCAAGAUCGUUACCUUGGAGUUGCUCUCAGUCCGGAAGGUUGAGCUGCUCAAGCACAUUCGAGUGUCGGAAGUGGCUACUUUCUUAAAAGAAUUGCACGACCAUUGGAGUACAAAGAAAAAGGAGGGCUCGAAAGAUGGAGUGGUUGUAGAGCUAAAGCAAUGGUUUGGGGACAUGAUGCUGAACGUUAUUCUUACAAUGGUGGCUGGAAAGCGGUUUUCGGUGGCUGCCACUGGGGAUGAGAAGAAAGAAGCGCGUAGGGUUCAGACUGCAUUGAGGGAGUUCUUUGAUUAUCUGGGCAUGUUUUUGGUGGGUGAUGCGGUUCCUUAUCUGCGGUGGUUGGAUUGGGGUGGACAUGAGAAGGCAAUGAAGAAAAGUGCAACGGAAAUGCACGCCAUUAUUGCAGAGUGGCUUGAAGAGCAUAAGCAGAGGAGAGCAAAAGGUGUUGCAAAAGGAGAAAAGGACUUCAUAGAUUCGUUGCUUUCUGUGCUUGAUGGUGCGGACCUUGGCAGUUUCGAUGCUGAUACGAUCACCAAAGCCACAAGCGUGGUACGUAUAUAUAAUUCAUUAAUUUUUGCAGGCAAAUAUUUAACCAUAAAAGGCUGGAGUUAGACACUAUUCACAUAAAGAUUUUAUUUUUACUUUUCAAUACUUAUAAGCUAAUUGCAUGGUCUAUAAAAAGAAAAUGAAAACAUUAGACGAUAAUAUUUUUUUUUUUAAAACAAAUUAUGUCCAAUUUUAUAUAUGACUCAUGUGACAUAUUUGUCGGCUCACCAAUGGGUAAUGGUAAAGAGAUUAUCUUCUUAGACUGUAUCUGUAGAUCACAUGAUGUGACGGUUAUUAGAUUCUUUCUUUAAAUCCUUAAUAAUGAAAUCCAACCAUCAAUUGUCAUAUUCUUUGAUUUACAAGAUGUGAUUUAAAAAUAUAAUCACUUUAACAUUUUUGUCGCGUAAAGAAUGUAUAAAUGUUAAUCAAGCAAAUAUUCCUUGGGCAGAAUAUUAUUGCAGGAGGUGGCGACACCACCAUGGUGCCAUUGACGUGGGCAAUAUCAUUAUUGGUGAACAACCCUCAAGUUUUGAAAAAAGCUGUAAAUGAACUGGACACCAAAAUAGGGAAACAAAGAGUUGUGAGUGAGGAAGAUAUAAGCAACUUGGUCUACAUCCAAGCUAUUGUAAAGGAGACGUUACGUUUGUACCCAGUAGGACCAUUAUCAGGGCCGCGUUUAUUCACCGAAGAUUGCACCAUUGCUGGCUACCAUAUCCCAAAGGGCACCCGGUUGAUCCCGAACUUCUGGAAGAUCCAAACUGACCCGAAAAAUUGGCCUGAGCCAUUCGAGUUCAAGCCAGAGAGAUUUCUUACCACACACAAGGAUGUUGAUCUGAAGGGUCGGCAUUUUCAGUUUCUUCCUUUUUCAAGUGGUAGAAGAUCAUGUCCUGGUUUGGCAUUUGGUCUUCAACUGGUGCAAUUUACAUUGGCUAGUUUUCUGCAUGCGUUUGAAAUCUCAAAUCCGUCGAGUGCACCAAUUGAUAUGACAGAGAGUUUUGGAAUAACCAACGUUAAGGCAACUCCACUUAAUGUUCUCAUCAAACCUCGCUUAUCUUUUGAACUUUAUGGAUAAAAGAAGAAAAUACAGAAUAUUAUGUGUACGAUAUGAAUAAGAGAUUUUCGUUGUUAUUAGUUAUGUAUAAUUAUGUGUCCAUCUUUGUAAUCGUAAAAUCAAUAAAUCAAGGCUUUUUAUGUUAGCACCCCACAAAAUGUUGAAUACACUCCACAUUAAAAUUUAAUAUUAAUGACUUAUUUACUCUGCUAUGUAAUAACAAUUUUGACCUUAUUAGGUUUAAAAAAUAAUAAAAAAUUUAUAAAUACACCCCAAAUUACUUUUAACGUAUUAUUUAUCUAUUUCAACUAUCAAAACCCCUCUCAUUCUCCAUUGUUGAAUAAAACCCUAAACAAUGAAACUACAAACAUGUUGAUUGAGAAAAAUAAUUUUUGACGAAUGGAACACAAAAUCGAUGUUUCGAAAGCUUUGAAAUCAUUAUUAUUGUUAUUGAAAAACAUUCAAAUGAACCUAAACAUUUUUUGAAAUCAUUCAGCAAACUAAUGUUUAGAUAGUUUGAAAUCAUUUGGCAAAAUAAAAAAUGAGUGUUAUAAGAUUUGAGAAAUGUGGGGUGUGUGUAGAAAAUAUAAGGUGUAUAUUAAGAAUGUGGGGUGUGAGAGUAUUAUGGGAAAGAAAGUGGAGUGUAUUAACAUAAUUUUUAAUUGAAAAAGUAAAUAUGGGAUAUAUUAAGUAUGUGAGGUUUAUUCAACAAUUUGUGGGGUGCUAAUAUAAUAAGCCUAUAUCAACUGCCAAUGUAAGAUACAAAACCUAGCAAUAAUGGGUGUUUGAGAAUGGGUAUAUUUAGCAAUAAAAAAGUACCCCCAAAAAAGCCUCUAUUUACAUUUUCCAUUGGGCUAUCUUUUGGGUCUGUUGCCUCCGGAUUUUUUUAUUUUCAAUUUGCUUGUAAAGAACCCACCCAUUUGCCAGCACAAACAGGACAAAUUAAAAUAGUCUGUGGAAAUAAAGAUGAGAAUUAAGUGGGAGUAAUGGGCAUAAAGGUUACCUCAAGAUUUACAAUUGUUUUACCAUUUCCUCUAACUUAUUGUCAUCGCUAAAUGGCUGUUAGUAGGGUGAGUUAUAGAGAAGAAACUGGGGCAGCAAGCAAGAACAAAAAGGCUGCAGGUUGCAGCGGCAAAGAUAAGGGAAAAAAAACUGAAAAAAAAAUGGAAAGGUGCAGCUGACGAAAAUGGGAAGGAAGAAAGCAAGGCAGCAAAAAGUUGGACGAGGAAGAGGGAAGCAAUAGAGGAAGGAGGAAAUCUUGGCAUUCUUUUCUUUCGGUUUUAUCUUCUCAAACUCAUGUCUUUCUUUUGGUUUUAUUUGAGAAUUAUGUGUAACUAAUUUUUAGUAGUUAUGGGCUAUUUUGAAGCCCCAAAUAUGAUUGCAAGUUUGUUAUGACAUUUUGUUGAAUUACUUUUAUAAAUUGAAGAAAAUUGGUUUACUACUUGUCUCAUUGAUGAAUUAUUUAUGUGUUUUCUACGGAUGCAUACUUAGUAAGCAUAUCUAGGAUUCUAAUGCUAUGAAUAUGUGUGUACCUGCCAUUGUCGAAUGAGGACCUACAUAUGUUCUAGAAUAGUACUUGUUAAUUGCGUUUAACAUGUGAACCAAUUUCUAGGAUAAGUAAGACAACGCUAAUACUUACGAUACCUUGUGAUGACUUAAACUCUUUUCGUUCUUAAUGAUUUCUACUUGUUAAAUAUAUGAACAUGCCAUUCUAGAUUGCAUGCUAGAGACUAAGUUAAGUUGAAAACGUCAUUCACUUAACAUACUACAUAAGAAAGAGUAAUAACAUACUACAUAAGAAAGAGUAAUAGGUUGAGUUCUAACAUUGAGCCAACUUGAGCAUCUUCAUCCGGAAAUAAAAUGAAUUUGAAUGAAACAUAACAUGUUUGCAUGAUUAUUUUGUGGUGGAUAGCAAUUCCCCUAACUCGUUUUUCUUAAUUUGUGAACUACUUAAAAUUUGUUUAUGUCCUGUUUUUGUUCGAUUUAAUUUUAAAAGAAAAUCAACUCCAAAAAUUUGUGUGAGUGUAGCUCUGUGUGUCUAGUGUCUUCAUAUAAAAUUUCGUAGACUUUAGAUAAGUGUAAGUUGGUCUAAUAAUUAUUUUCCGGUGGCUGGUCAGUAGGGACAGCAGCCCAGUUUUUGUGACAUUUUAAGUAGUUAGAUAAAACAAUCUUCUGCAGGAAAUACUCUUAUUUUCAUAUACUACAAUUGACAAUUCUUAGUUUUAAUAAGGAAAAUCAAUAAGAUAUUUAUGUGCUAUUUUGUGAUGUGCUUUUAAUCCUAUCAGGUACCAUAACAGGAGGGCAGACAAUCUGCCUCCCAAUUCUAGUGUAGAGUUAUUUUUGUAAGAUUAUUUUCAUGGGGGCGAUGAUAUUAAAAUCAUGCACAGAUCACACAGAAGGCAAUCCUAUCUUUACUUGCAAGUUGCAUCGAACAGAUAAGUAAAGGGUCCAAACCAGCCAUGUCAUAAAUAAUCAAGUUCUUCAGAAUAAUCAAGAGUUGUCGAGAAAAAUGUGGGACUGCGCGAUUUAACUAUGCAAUGUGAUAUUCACAUACUUUAUUUUAUUUCUUACACAUUUUUCUAAUUUUUUACUGUCGGAUCGGAUUAAUUGAAGAAGAUCAACAGAUAAAAAUUAACAAAAAAUAUGUGAAAAGUAAUUUGAAAUGUGUGAAUAACAUAUCUCUUAACUAUUUUAUCGUUCUUUACUAAAUUGUAUAUAGACAAGAAAAUAUUAUGGGAUAUAAAUAAUAAGUCUAAAGCCGUGUAGAAAGUAGUCGAAGAAAUAUCACACUUUUCACGAAUCAGCCUGAUGCUCCUUAAUUCAACAUUUGACUAAUGAGUUUAUAAUAUUAAAAAUAGCAAAUUAUAAUAUCAGACAAUGUGGCAUAUGCGGGUUCAUAUGUUAAUUAGUUGAAGUAUAGAUCCUCUUUGGAUCUAAAAAAACAGAGUCUAAGAAUUAAAUGAUCCGGAUCGUUGAAAUUUGAUCUAACUGCUACAAUUAUUAUAACUUUUAGAAUGAUCCUUUGUUUGUAGCCGUUGAAUCAAAUUUCAAAGGCCUGUAUCAUUUAAUUCAACGACCUGAAUCAUUUAAUCCUUAUACUCAGUUUUUUUAAAUCCAGAAAGAAUUUGCACUCAAUUAUUUGAGGGUUCUUUCAGGGAGAUCCAACAACAUGAAAAUUGAAACAAAGGUGUUAGAUUAAGUUGCAGUGUAUCAAGCUAAUGACAGUGUGUGUGAGCGUGACCCACAAGACUCAUUAUUUUAUGAAUUCUGAUCCUCUGCAUGUUUUUUCCCUACCACACUAUUUCGUUGAGGAGAAGUGAUAAGGGGCUCCCUCAUUCGAACCACCAACUCUGUUUUGGUAUACAUUUUCCACGGGAUCAAACGUACGUUAUUGCCUCAAUGCCUCAUGUGGUACCAAGACUAUGGAGAAAAGGAAUUUUUUGAGGCAAAACGAUAAUGGUUUGAUUGGCAUUUUUUUUUUAAAAGUACAAACUUCAAAUAGAGUAUCCUAGAUCAAAUUCGAGAGUGAUCCUUAAAUAAACAGUUCCAAAAAAAAAAUAAGGCCAGCUUGACCAAUCUAAUAGCUACCAUAUCGGCGGAUCUUCGAGUGUGAUAACACAUCUAGCACUCCAAAGUCAAAAAUAAUUUAAUCUCGACAACUAAAAAUUCAAUCACAUCAAAUCUACCUCAUGAGAAACUCUACACACAAAAUUGCUAGCAAAACCAGUAAAGAGCACUGUUUUCAUAUACAAGCAACACCAACUUCAAAGAGGAGCAAAAGAAACAAAUAGUGACCGUUAUAAUAAGAACUCUACACGCAAAACUACCAACGAAGCUAUUAGUUGUACCACGGUAAACCCCAUCAACGCCAUCAUGAGACAUAAAAGAAAGACACAAGCUCAAAAAGGCAAAUUUAACAUGGACGAAAGCCGCACUAUACCUAGACAACCCACACCAUAAAAAUUCAGCCUCAUCUCUUGCCACACCCCCACACUAUCCAAACAACCAUAGAGGGAAGAUUUUGUGAGAAAAAAUGGAUUGAAAAAGGACAAAAAAAUAAGUCACAGAGAACUCAAAUCUAAGCAAGUUUAGAUACAAACUUAAUCACCACAAAAGGGACUAAAAUUAUUAGUAUGUCAUCAAUGUGUGAUAAAAAAUUACUUGGUAGCUUCGCUACAACAGUCUACUUUUUAGGGAUAAAAAAGACUCACAGAUGCAUUUCAACCUCUCAUUUACUAUUAUCGUGUGAUACACAUGCGUUAAGAAUCUAACUCAAAACAUACCGUGUAAGAUAUAUGAGUAUAAAAUUUGUUUUCAAUCAGUAGGUCAUCCCUUAGCGUGGGGGCAAUGAUAUUUUUUCAGUAGGUCAUCCCUUACUGGAAUUGUCCCCAAUGUAUAAAAAUCACGAGCGCUAGACCAAUUCCAAUGUAUAGAUUUUUUUUGUAAGGUUAUUUUCGUGGGGGCAUACGUCACACAGAAGACAAUCCCAUCUUACUUGCAUGUUGCAACGAACAGAUAAGUAAAGGGUCCAAACCGGCAUGUCAUAAAAUAAUAAAUCUUCAAAAUAAUGAAAAUUCGUUAAACGUCUAGAAAAACGGGGGAUUGAGCAGUUUUACUAUUUUGUCAUCCUCAAUUAAAUUGUCCUUUUUAAGAGUUAUGAAAAGGAAAGGGUAUUUUUAAGGGAAGAGGAUCCUCUCCUGAGCUCAGGAUGGGGAUCCUCCUGAUCAGGUUAUUCGGACUGUUUAAAUUUAAUCCAACGAUUCUAAACAGGAGGGUCUUCUAAAAGUUAUAAUAAUUGCGAUCGUUGAAUUAAAUUUGAACGGUCUGGUUGGCCUGGUUAGAAGAAUCCUCAUCCUGAGCUCAGGAGAGGAUACCGAUUGCCAAACUGAUUAAGGUCGAUGCAGUUUGGUUUAGCCACCGUAAAUUAAAAAAAAAAAAAAAAAAAAAACCAAACCAGGCUUUAGGUGGGAUUCAAGCGGUUUAGUCGGUUUUUUUUUUUUUUUUAAAUGCCCAGCCCUAUGUUCUACAUAGAACCCAACAUAAUUUUUUUCUCUUAAUAAUUAAGAUCCAUAUAAGCAAAUUCAUCAAUUAUACUUUACUUUACAGAUUUUACAUUUUUCGAAUUCUUAAAAUAUUCAUAUUGCAUGUUUGAUUUACACAAUUAAUUAUACGUGGGUUCUUAGGUUUGAUUCUUACUAAAGGUAAAUUUAAACCUCAUUAUUACUAACUCAUUGUGAGACUUAGCUCACUCUCCAUCCCUUUAAUAUAGAUAAUAUCAUUUGUUAAAAAAAAAUAACAAUCUAUCUUUUACCUUUUAGUUAGUCAUAAUUUUUUCAUUUCUCCUCUCAACUGGAGAUCAAGAGUUAUGUAUUUCAAUACAACCAUACGUAAUAAUCGGACCCUUACUCCUAUAUAUACGUGUGUGUAUGACAAGGCGAUAAAUCAACUUAAGCCUUUACCCAGUUCGGUAAAAAGCAUUUUGCGUCUAGCUUUCUCAUGAUAGUUGCAAAAAUGGAUUCUCUCCCUUAUGCAAACUCUAUCACUGCUGGCCUGUUCACAGUAAUCAUCGUGUUCUAUUACUUAUCUCGAAGAUGGAGAGCUGCCAAUCACAAGGGCAAAUUAUCACCACCAGAAGUCAAGGGUGGAUGGCCUAUAUUUGGUCACCUUCAUUUGUUAGGAGGCUCCACACCUCCUCACAUAACUUUGGGAGCCAUGGCGGACAAGUACGGACCCAUUUUCACUAUCCGCCUUGGCGUCCAACCGUCGUUGGUGAUAAGCAGCAGUGAGAUCGCAAAAGAAUGCUACACAACCAAUGACUUGAGCAUACUCUCUCGCCCAAAGAUGGUGGUUGUAGAUCACGUUAGCUACAACUAUGCCAUGUUUGCGUUCGGACCACCUGGACCCUAUUGGCGAGAAAUUCGCAAGAUCGUUACCUUGGAAUUGCUCUCAGUCCGGAAGGUUGAGCUGCUCAAGCACAUUCGAGUGUCGGAAGUAGCUACUUUCUUAAAAGAAUUGCACGAACUUUGGAGUACAAAGAAAAAGGAGGGCUCGAAAGAUGGAGUGGUUGUAGAGCUAAAGCAAUGGUUUGCGGACAUGAUGCUGAACGUUAUUCUUACAAUGGUGGCUGGAAAGCGGUUUUCGGUGGCUGCUGCUGGGGAUGAGAAGAAAGAAGCGCGUAGGGUUCAGACUGCAUUGAGGGAGUUAUUUGAUUAUCUGGGCAUGUUUUUGGUGGGUGAUGCGGUUCCUUAUCUGCGGUGGUUGGAUUGGGGUGGACAUGAGAAGGCAAUGAAGAAAAGUGCAACGGAAAUGCACGCCAUUAUUGCAGAGUGGGUUGUAGAGCAUAAGCAGAGGAGAGCAAAAGGUGAUGCAAAAGGAGAACAGGACUUCAUAGAUGCGUUGCUUUCUGUGCUUAAUGGUGCAGACCUUGGCAGUUUUGAUGCUGAUACGAUCACCCAAGCCACAAGCUUGGUACGUAUAUAUAAUUUAUUAAAUUUGCAGGCAAAUAAUUAACCAUAAAAGGCUGGAGGUAGACACUAAACACAUCAAGAUUUUAUUUUUACUUUUCAAUACUUAUAAGCUAGUUGCAUGGUCUAUAAAAAGAAAAUGAAAACAUUAGGCAAUAAUUUUUUUUUUUUUGAAAACAUAUGUCCACUUUUAUACAUGACUCAUCCGACAUAUUUGUCUGCUCAUCAAUGGAUGAUGGUAGAGAAAUUAUCUUGUUAGAUUGUAUCUGUAGAGCAUAUGAUGUGACGGUUGAUGGUUAGAUUCUUUUUUUAAAUCUUUAAGAAUGAAAUUCAACUAUUAUUGCAGGAGGUACUGUUACAUUCUUUGAUUUACAAGAUGUAAUUUAAAAAGAUAAUCUCUUUAACAUUUUCGUCAAGAAUGUGUAAAUGUUAAUCAAGCAAAUAUUCCUUGGGCAGGCUAUUAUUGCAGGAGGUGCCGAUACCACCACGGUGGCAGUGACGUGGGCAAUAUCGUUAUUGCUGAACAACCCUCACGUUAUGAAAAAAGCUCUAAACGAACUGGACACCAAAAUAGGCAGACAAAGAGUUGUGAGUGAUGAAGAUAUAAGCAACUUGGUCUACAUCCAAGCUAUUGUAAAGGAGACGUUACGUUUGUACCCAGGAGGACCAUUAUCAGGGCCGCGUAUAUUCACCGAAGAUUGCACCAUUGCUGGCUACCAUAUUCGAAAGGGCACCCGGUUCAUCCCAAACUUCUGGAAGAUCCAAACUGACCCGCAAAAUUGGCCUGAGCCAUUCGAGUUCAAGCCAGAGAGAUUUCUUACCACACACAAGGAUGUUGAUCUGAAGGGUCAGCAUUUUCAGUUUCUUCCUUUUUCAAGUGGUAGAAGAGCAUGCCCUGGUUUGGCAUUUGGUCUUCAACUGGUGCAAUUUACAUUGGCUAGUUUUCUGCAUGCGUUUGAAAUCUCAAACCCGUCGAGUGCACCAAUUGAUAUGACAGAGAGUUUUGGAAUGACCAACCUUAAAGCAGCUCCGCUCAAUGUUCUCAUUAAACCUCGUUUAUCUUCUAAACUCUAUGGAUAAAAGAAAAAAAUAUAGAAUAUUAUGUGUGCAAUAUGAAUAAGAGGUCUUCGUUGUUAUUAGUUAUGUAUAAUUAUGUGUCCAUCUUUGUAAUAGUAAAAUCAAUAAAUCAACUGCCAAUGCAAGAUACAAAACCUAGCAACAAUGAGUGUUUGAGAAUUGGCAUAUUUAGCAAUAUAAAGGUACCCCAAAAAAGCCUCUAUUUACAUUUUCAAUUGGGCUAUCUUUUGGGUCUGUUGCCUCCGGAUAUUUUUGUUUUUCAAUUUGUUUGUAAAGAACCCACCCAUUUGCCAGUACACAAACAGGACAAAUUAAAAUAGUCCAUCUGCGAUUAUUAUCACAAAGCUAAUUUUGAUUAGGUUUUUCUUAUUAUUGAUUGAAAAACCAAGAGAUUUUCAUUACAUUAAGAGCUGGUUUGGUAUUACUGUGCUUUGAAAAAAAACUGCUUCUGCUGUGUUGUGAGAAUAAGCGGAUGUGAAAUAAAGCUGUAGAGUGUUUGGUAAACUUUUUUGUAAAAAUGCUUUUGAAAAAAAAAAACAGUAUUAUAGUGUUUGAUAAACUUUUAUGUAAAAUAGAUGUGAAAAAAAAGCUGGGUUUUCAAAGCUGGGUUUUGCAGCUUCUUGUUUUUGGUUUUUUUUCACCCAAAACUGUGAAAAAAAGCUGAAGCUGAAUGUUUACCAAACACAAAAAAGCUCCCAACUUUUUUUCAUACCAGCUUUUUUUUAAUCACCUCAAUCCCAAACUGCACCUAACUUGGGUCUAAACUGCUCUGAAGUGCAAAAUUUGCAUUGCAAUGAUAAGUUUACUGCUUACAUCACUUUGCAUAUCAGUAAUGUGAUAUCAAAAUGUGAUAUUUCUAGCAUUAUUUGUAGGGCAAAAAAGAAAUCCAAGAAAACCGCAUUCGAUCCGAAAAAUUUAAGCCAAACCUGAAAAUUCCAAAUUAUUUGGUUAUUGAAACCAAACAAUUCUUAAAACUUCGGUAUAAAAAUUUAUAUGUACUAAAGCUCAGCAGAUUAGCAUUGUUCACCAUGUGAGAGCGAGCACUGUUCACCAGCCGUUAAAAGGGAGGAAAUGCCCACGGUUUUUGCUUUGGUUCCUAUACUGUUUACACUUUGCUACAGGAAAAAGUUAGUUUUGUCCUUCCCGGCCUUGCGUCUGUUAUCAGCAAGCGAAUCAGGUUCGUCUCUCGCUCUCUCUCUCUCACAUUUUUUUUUUCAAAUUGGGACGUGCUGUCUUCUCCUUUUCCAUCUCCAUCUCUGCGCAACUUGCCAAAUCUCUCCUGGGAACCUUCCACCGCAUCGUUUUUGUAAUUUUGGCUUGAUCUGGAUGGCUUCAGAUCUCUGAAGCCAUUAUCUGUGAUGACACGUGGAAGACUGGGAUGAGAAGGAGAGAAGAGAAAGGAGUAAAAUGAGCAAUGGCUCCGGCCAAUGAGGGAGAAAGGAAACAAAGGAAAGGAGGGAAAGGAGAAGAAGAGAACCGGCCAACCCGGUUUCUCCACCCGACCCGCCAACUUGACCCGCUCAUAUCUCCUCCAUACGAACUCUGUUUUGGGUGAUCUUGAUGUCCAUGGAAAGCCCUUGAUGAGCCAUACAUCUAUGUAGUGUUAGAUUUCCCAAUUUCUUUCCCAUUUUUCUACUUCGAAGCCACAAAGCCCACGACUUUUUUGGCAACUUUAAUCUUUUUCCAGUGGCUCCGCGCGAGCUUCACCGUCAAUGACCACCACCAAAAGACUCCUCUCAACCCCAGGAGCAAGGCCCAAGCCUUUGAUGAGGUGACGAAGUUUGUUUUGGUGACGAAUCGACAACUACCCAAAUCGAGGGUUUCCGGUGGGUUUGAGUCAAUUUGGAGCCUUUUCCAGCCAAAUUAGACUUGACCACAGGUAUAAAGUUUGCUCUACUCUUUAAGAUCUUUAUUUAUAUAAAAUUUGAGAAUUUUUUAAAAUAGUUGAAAUUUUCCGGCUAGUCGGGGCGGCUGACCACCCCACAUGGCGACGAGUGGCCAGAAGGCCGUUGCUGUUAUUUUUAGGCUAAAUUAGAUGCCUUGAUUUCAGUUUUGAUAUUCGUAUGAUGUAGAUUGAUCGUUUGAACCUAAAUUCACUAUGAUACCUUACUUGAUCAAAAUAAUGAAUCGACGAUCCGACCGUUGGAUCGUCACCAAACUUUGAGACCUUAUCGUAUGUAAUAUUUGAGGACCUUAGGAGUUUACAGAUCGGGAAUCCAUCAUACUAAUCUUCCCGAAUUGGAUUUUCAAGUUUAUAAAAUAAAACGUUGACCACCACUUGAUUUCAUGAUUGGCGGAGAUCCGACCGUUGGAUUGGAAUGAAAUUUUAGUAUGUUGUUCUAGAAGCGUAAGGUGAACUACGCGGAACCUUUUACAACUAUUAACACAAUCUUCUCGAAGCAAUGAUAACCCGCACAUAAUCAACCUAACAUAAUCCAGGAUAGAAAUUAUAAAUACAAACCAAAUUCCUUUGUAUCCAUCAUGACAGCUAUUUCAGUUAGCUUUUGGAUCUCAAGAAAAUGAAAACCAGAUAUUACUCUACUUAUGAGAAAUAUCAGUGUCUCAGGCCGGAUGAUGAUGCUGUAACAACUCUAAGUAGUUUUCAAUACUUUGAUAUCUGCAAGUUUUGUUAAUAGUAAGCACAUUAGGUGAAAAUGAAAAUGAAAACAAGGAAAAUGAAAACUUUCCUUGUUGCAAAUCACUUUACGCAACAUGUCACCCGUUGGCAACAUUUUUUUCAUGCUAUGACCAAGAUUGGACUUCAAGUUAGUGAGUCUUAAACCAGUCCAAAACUGCACUAAACCUUUAGGAACAACCUAUCAAGAAAACUAAUAAUUUGAACAAGCUUUAGAAUCAGUUCUGCUUCAGGCUACACGAUUAUAUCACAUAUUGUCCGGUGGUAGUACAUUUAAGAAAGUCAACUAAGCAAAUAACAGCCUGUAGCUAAACGUUUCAUAUCUUUGAUCAGUGACCCCUAUGCAAGCUCAUUGAUAGCAUUUAAAAAUGAUCCAGUCAAGAAAAGUAUACAAAUUAGCUAAUGAUUUUGUAGAUACCUGUGCAGCGUUGUUAAAUUCAGGUAAAGGAUUCCCAUUAUUAUAUGUUGCUUUGACAAGUUCAUCGAAAAUGUAGCCAUAUAGUACGUCACUCUUCUCCAGUUUUUUGUUCAGACCUUCCACAUGGUUUCGAUGAUGGCCUCCCCAAUGAACUUCCAAUAUUCUCUGACUCAUAUACGGCUCCAAAGCAUCCUGAAAACAGAAACAUUACAUUUCAGUCAAGGAAGAUCAUAUGCAUAUUGCAAGCAUAAUAUAAUUACAUGUAUGUAUCAUCACGUGACAAGAAUAAGCAGCUCGAAACAGAAUAGUAAUCUCUACACAAUAAGAUUUACAACACGAGAUGGAUAACUUCAUAGAAUCAAAUGCUACACCACAAGAACUUCAGAAACCAAACAAUCAAAUUACUAAAGUAUUGCAAAUCCCAUCAGGUAAUAAGAAACCACAAAACUUCUCUUGGUGCACCUAAUGUGACAAUAGAAGCUGACUUGGCCAACCCGAUUUCAUGUCCUUAAAAUUGGUUUAAGGAGAAACUAGUUUACUUACAAGAAUAUAAGGAGGUUUCUUCAAUCCAUAGUAAGCACAAACUAACCCCAACUUUUGGCCUUGAACGGCUACAAUGAUUCCAGUCUCUUAAACUGUAACAACAACUAUUAACAUACAUAGAGAGUAAUUCUUAAACCUUGAAAUUUAGCCCAUUUCCUAAUAAUUUAUCCCAAAUAAAAACCUGAUUCAAUCCCCAUUUCAAAAUUAAAACCCUAAUUCCCAUUCACAAUUUUUCAAACCCUGAAAUCCAUCCCAUGCCCUAGUAAUUUAUCCCAAAUUAAAACCCUAAAUUCUAAAAUUCAUCUCAAUUCACGAUCAAAAUCCUUAAUUUCACAAUUCCAUAAUUUGUAAUUAGACUUACUUUCGAGAUAGACGAGCACGACGAAGGGGGUGGUGACUGCCUGUCGUUUGGAACGAAAGGGAGAGAGACAACCGAUAGUGGGUUCGAGAUUGGGGCAAUUUAGGGUUCGAGCGAAGAGGAGGAAGCCUACGGGAGAGAGGGUAUGAUGAGCGAAGAGGAGGAAGGCUACGAAAGAGAGAGACCGAGUGAGAGAGAGAGAAAGAGAGAAGGGGUCUGGGAAGAGGAGGAGGGCGUGAAAAGCAAAGGGGUCUUGGAAGAUUUUGUCCAAAAUUAUCAAAACUGGCGCUUAUUUUUUACACUUGUGCCAAAAUAUUCAAAACUGGCGCGACAUAGGUAUACAAUUCGACGUCGCGCAAAGUGUUUUUGCGCGACGACAACAUAAAGGCGUCGGUAUUUUUUAUAUAAAAAAAUUAUUAUAAAAAUAACUGAAAAUGUGACUUUACUCAUUUUAAAUUUAAUUAUUUUUACAUAAAACUCAUAAUAAUAUAUUUUUUAACAAAAACCUGACUAAUAAAUUGGUAGCUACUUAAUAAAUAUACAUAUCAUUCAAUUUCUUAAGUAUUAUACGUAAAAAAUAAAUAAAUUUAAAUCUACUUGAUAAAUAUAUAUACCAUUGAACUUGAUGCGAUACCACAUUGUACGUAACUAAUUUAAAUGAUCUAACCGUCAAACUUGUUUGUAUAUUGAUGCGUGAAAUAAGUUAACACACAAAUUAACCCUCUUUUUGACAAUUGUAGUAUAGAUGUAAGUAGGGUAUCGUUCUAGGCCGGGGAUUAGGAGGGAUUGCUAAUCUAUUCUAAAUUAAUUUAAAAAUAUUAAACAAGACUCAAGGACACAAAACUAGGCUAAAAACUCUAAUAACUCGAAACACACUUAGAAUGACUCAAAAUAAUGAAAACAAUCAAAUUAGACACUAGGAACUGAAAUGGACGGAAAUUGAAUUAAAAGACUAACAACAAUGAAAACUAACUAAAUAAUAUAAUUUAAUAAUGGGGGGGUUUGGUUUUUACGAGAAGUAAAUUAAACUUAAAUAAAUUACAGAAUUGACAAAAGCAUGAAAUUAAGGUGAAAGGAUAGGUGACGGACUAGCUAGAGGGUUCUUCUCCACACAUGACACAAAUGCAACCUAAAUUGAUUUUCAGUUGUUCUUUCAAUAAAUUGUAAAUCUCAACGCCCCAAAUUAACCGUGAAUUGCACUAAUUAACCCUCAGUUUUUCCACAAGUUAUUAGGUUGGAUGAUUGCAUACGACAACCCAAAACAUUCCCUACAAGUUCCCUACAUGAAUUGCAUAAUAGAGAUACAAGCAAGAAUCAUUAAGUUCUAUGAAAAACAUAAGCAUUGACGAGGCACUCGUUACUAUGAUUUGCAUGAAACUUAUGCCAAGAAUUUACUUAACGUGAUUGGGACUAGCAACCUUCACUACUUGUGAAUAUAAGUUCAUAACGAUUAGGUGAAACUCCCUUAUAUUCUAGCGUCAAAUUCAUGCAUGUAAAUUAAGUAUGCAUUCUUAAUCGACAUACAAAAAUAAGCUAUCAAUCAAGCAGUUAAGCAAAUUAAAUCACAACUCAGAAAUCACAACUGAAGGUAAUCAAUUCAUAUUACAAAUAUAUUCAUGGCUUUGAAUUAACCUCUAGCCAAAAUAAAAUUAGUUACAUAUUAUUAAAACAGAAAUAAAAUAUAAGUUUGGAAAGAUUUAACCAAAAAAAAUAGAGUGAAGCUCCUUCUCUGUCUCUCUGUGCUCCCCCUGUCUCUGCCUUCCGCGCCUUCAGUUUUCUUCUUUUCUCCUGCGUCAGUCUGUCCUCCCCCCGCCCCAGUCCUUGCUGCUGUCACUCUCUGACUCUUUUUUUUUAUUUUCUGUCUGUUUCGUUUCUCUUGGUCUCCGCCCCGCCCCUGCUAGUCGGUCUCCCCUAUUUUUCUAUUCUCCUUCCCUCCUAUCUGCCGCGCCUCCUGGCCUCAUCUUAUUCUUCUUUCAUUUUUUUAUUCCUUCUUUUUUCUUUUUCUUGUCUGCCAUGCCUCAUUCCUUUUAUCAUUUUCUGUUUUUCUUUCCUCCACCAUUCCUUUCUUUAUGUUUCUUUUAUUCCUCCAUCAUUCCAUGUCUCCCCUUUUAUUUAUUUUCUUAUUCUUCUUUCUCCACACAAUCCGCAAGUCUCUCCCUUUCCUCUUUUAUUAUUCAAUUUCUUGAUAGUCCACUUCCUUCCUUUGUUUAAUGACGUGCUGCAUUCUGUCUUUUCUCUAUUCUUUUCUGCCCAUUUUGUUUGAAAUUAAUCCUACAACAAAAUUAACUGUACAUUAACACGAGGUAAGGUAAAAUGCCACAAUUUUGACACAAAAACAUCCAAAGACUUUAGAAAUGAAUGGUAUAAAUGCAUGAAAUAUAUGAGUGAUCAUAUAUGCUUCAAGAUUGCAUACACCAAAAAUGGCAAAAAACAAACCUUCAUAGUGAUAGUAACGAGACAAAACUUUUCGACAGCUAUAAACGAAAAAAUCACGAUUUAACGGUUAUUUUAACUCCAAUUUUGAUGAUUUUGUACAACUACACUCUUGGAUCUUAUAUGAAUACAAGGAACUGAUUCGAUCAUCAAUUUAAAACAUUUACAUAAGUGGAUACCACAAAAUCUUAUGUUAUACUUGAUGAAAGUAUAAAUAAAAUAUAAGUGUUAGGAAAUCUAUUGUUUUAAUGGGAUACGCAUUGUACAAAACAAGUUUCAAUGAUCCAACUGUCAAACUUGUUUGUAUAUGCUUCAAGAUCACAUACUCCAAAAAUGAAAAAAAAACAAACCUUCAGAGAUCAAGUAACGGGACAAAUCUUUUCGACGGUUAUAAACAAAAAAAUCACUAUUUAACGGUUAUUUUAACUCCGAUUUUGAUGAUUUUUUACAACUACACUUUUGGAUCCUAUAUGAAUACAAGGAACUGAUUCGAUCGUCAAUUUAAAACAUUUACAAAAGUGGAUACCACAAAAUCUUAUGUUAUACUUGAUGAAAGUAUAAAUAAAAUAUAAGUGUUAGGGAAUCUAUUGUUUUAAUGGGAUACGCAUUAUACAAAACAAGUUUCAACGAUCCAACCGUCAAACUUGUUUGUAUAUGCUUCAAGAUCACAUACGCCAAAAAUGGAAGAAAAAAAAAACCUUCAGAGAUCAAGUAAUGGGACAAAUCUUUUCGACGGUUAUAAACGAAAAAAUCACGAUUUAACGGUUAUUUUAACUCUGAUUUUGAUGAUUUUUUACAACUACACUCUUGGAUCCUAUAUGAAUACAAGGAACUGAUUCGAUCAUCAAUUUAAAACAUUUACACAAGUGGAUACCACAAAAUCUUAUGUUAUACUUGAUGAAAGUAUAAAUAAAAUAUAAGUGUUAGGAAAUCUAUUGUUUUAAUGGGAUACGCAUUGUACAAAUCAAGUUUCAAUGAUCCAACCGUCAAACUUGUUUGUAUAUGCUUCAAGAUCGUAUACGCCAAAAAUGGCAAAAAACAAACCUUCAGAGAUGAAGUAACGGGACAAAUCUUUUCAACGGUUAUAAACAAAAUAUCACGAUUUAACGGUUAUUGUAACUCCGAUUUUAAUGAUUUUUUACAGCUACACUCCUGGAUCCUAUAUGAAUACAAGGAACUAGUUCGAUCGUCAAUUUAAAACAUUUACACAAGUGGAUACCACAAAAUCUUAUGUUAUACUUGAUGAAAGUAUAAAUAAAAUAUGUGUUAGAGAAUCUAUCGUUUUAAUGGGAUACACAUUGUACGAAACUAGUUUCAACGAUCCAACCGUCAAAUUUGUUUGUAUAUGCUUUGAGAUCGUAUACGCCAAAAAUAGUAAAAAACAAACCUUCAGAGAUUAGGUAACGGGACAAAACUUUUCGACGGUUAUAAACGAAAAAAUCAAGAUUUAACGGUUAUUUUAACUCAAAUUUUGAUUAUUUUUUACAGCUACACUCCUGGAUCCUAUAUGAAUACAAGGAUCUGAUUCGAUCAUCAAUUUAAAACAUUUACACAAGUGGAUACCACAAAAUCUUAUGUUAUACUUGAUGAAAGUAAAAAUAAAAUAUAAGUGUUAGGAAAUCUAUUGUUUUAAUGGGAUACGCAUUGUACAAAACAAGUUUCAAUGAUCCAACUGUCAAACUUGUUUGUAUAUGCUUCAAGAUCGCAUACUCCAAAAAUGAAAAAAAAAAACAAACCUUCAGAGAUCAAGUAACGAGACAAAUCUUUUCGACAGUUAUAAACAAAAAAAUCACUAUUUAACGGUUAUUUUAACUCCGAUUUUGAUGAUUUUUUACAACUACACUUUUGGAUCUUAUAUGAAUACAAGGAACUGAUUCGAUCGUCAAUUUAAAACAUUUACACAAGUGGAUACCACAAAAGAAACAGGCAAUGCAAGAACCCCAAUAGAAAAGCAAAAGGAAAAUAAAAAAACUUUGCGCAACGGAGGUACAACCGUCGCACAAAGUUUUUUUUUUUUUUUUUUUUUUGUUCCUAUGUUCCACAGUUUUAGCUUCUUGUAUAUCUCUUCCACUCCUGCCUUAAAAUUAUUGUUUAAGGACCUAUAUGAUGAGACCACGUAUUCAAAAUCGUAAAGGGUAGAGACUACACCUAAAAUGAUUACUAACCACGUAAUAGAAUAGUGGUUUGACAAAAAUAUAAACUAGCUUUUUCUCUAAAUCUCUAACAUUCUAGUUUCCUUCUCCCAAUUUAGUGAGAAAUGAAAUCAUUUUUUAGCACACAUCAAUCUAUCCCUAAAUUGGAUCAAGUUAACUGAGCAGCUUGCAGUUUCUUAGCUUUUGUUUCCCUAAACCUAUCAAAAUCCUUCAUACUCCUAGUCAUUCAUUCUACUCAUUCAAUUGUUCAAAACCAAAACUCAACUUGUUAAAAAUAAGCAUUGACAAAGAUAAUUAAAGAAAAACAUAAAUACACAAAAAUAAAAAAAUCCGAACAUAAAUGUAAUCAAUAAAUAGUUAAUUAAUUAAUCAAAUAAAUACAAUACUUGAAGGUGAAGAUGGUGAAGGUUGAGAGAGAUGGAGAGUCUGAAAGAGAGAGGUUGAGUGUGAAGAAAAAGGCCAUUGUGUGUGGUUAUUUUAGAAAAAAAAAUCGUCGACUUUGCGCAACGCUUCAUACGUUGCGCAAAACAGCAUUGCGCGACGUAGGUUCAAUUACGUCGCGCAAAGUUGUUUUGCGCGACGUAGGUGCACAUGUGUCACGCAAAGAUGGGAUGGGUUGGCGCCAAAAUUUUACGUGCGCAAGUUUCCGUCGCGCAAACAUGUUUUUGUACUAGUGAUUGUCAGUUUUUCAAGAGAUCCUCGUAAGGACUCCAUGUUCAGGGUAUUACUGGCCCUGUUUUCAUGUAGAACCUCACACUCAGACACAUCAAGUGUUUUCAAGGAAGAAAGAUGAGUAGGCAAGUCUCCUAUCAGCUUCGGACACUCUCUUAAUAUCAGCUCCUGAAGACGAGGGAAGUCUGGACUUUCACCACCACUUGGACUAGGCUGCCAUUCCUCCACUCUGGCAUCUCCCGAAACUCUAGCUUCUCUAAACAUUGAAAUGGUUGAUUUCCCCCGUACAACUCACCACCAGCCGGCAUGUCAUAAAAUAAUAAAUCUUCAAAAUAAUCAAAAUUCGUUAAACGUCAGUUUUACUAUUCAAACCGGCAUGCUGCAACGAACAGUUAAGUAAAGGGUCCAAAACGGCAUGUCAUAAAAUAAUAAGGGUCCAAAACGGCAUGUCAUAAAAUAAUAAGGGUCCAAACCGGCAUGUCAUAAAAUAAUAAAUCUUCAAAAUAAUCAAAAUUCGUUAAACGUCUAGUAAAACGGGGGAUUGAGCACUUUUACUAUUUUGUCAUCCUCAAUUAAAUUGUCUUUUUUAAGAAUUGUGAAAAGGAAAGGGUAUUUUUAAGUGAAGAGGAUCAUCUUCUGAGUUCAGGAUGGGAAUCCUCCUGAUCUGAUCAGGUUAUCCGGAUCAUUCAAAUUUAAUUCAACGGUUGUAAUUAUUAUAACUUUUAGAGGACCCUCCUAUUUAGAACCAUUGGAUUAAAUUUGAACGGUCCGGAUGACCUAGUCAAGAGGAUCCCCAUCUUGAGCUCAGGAGGAUCCUCUUCCAUUUUUAAAUUUACACAUAUUAAUUAUGAUUCAAAAAUAAAAUUAAAUAUAUGUUUGGUUAACCGCACCCUAAAAAUUUUGAGAACCGAUUGCCAAACUGAUUGAGAUCGGUACGGUUUGGUUUAGCCAUCGAAAAUUAAAUAUAAAAAAACCAAACCUAGCUUCGGGUGGGAUUCAAACCGAUUGCCAAACGUUAUUUCCCUUUGUCACAUGUCGACUCUCGAUGUAUGUUGGGAUCCGGGCGUUACACAAACUUAAUCACCACAAAAGGGACUAAAAUGAUUAGUAUGUCAUCAAUGUGUGAUAAAAAAUUACUUUGUAGCUUCGCCACAACAGUCUACCUUUUGAGGAUCGAAAAGACUCACAGAGGCAUUUCAACCUCUCAUUGACCAUUAUCGUGUGAUACACACGCGUUAAGAAUUUAACCCAAAACAAACUGUGUAUAAUAUAUGAGUAUGAAAUUCGUUUUCAAUCAGUAGGUCAUCCCUUAGCGUGAGGGCAAUGAUAUUUUUUUCAAUAGGUCAUCCCAUACUGGAAUUGUCCCCAAUGUGUAAAAAUCACGAGCGUUAGACCAAUUCCAGCGUAUAGUUGUUUAUUUGUAAGGUUAUUUUCGUGGGGGCAAUGAUAUUAAAAUUAUGCACACAUCACACAGAAGACAAUCCCAUCUUACUUGCAUGUUGCAACGAACAGAUAAGUAAAGGGUCCAAACCGGCAUGUCAUAAAAUAAUAAAUCUUCAAAAUAAUCAAAAUUCGUUAAACGUCUAACAAAACGGGGGAUUGAGGAGUUUUAAUAUUUUGUCUUUUUUAAGAGUUAUGAAAAGGAAAGGGUAUUUUUAAGGGAAGAGGAUCCUUUCAUGAGUUCAGGAUGGAAAUCCUCCUGAUCUGAUAGGAUCAUCUGGACCGUUCAAAUUUAAUCAAACGGUUGUAAUUAUUAUAACUUUUAGAGGACCCUCUUAUUUAAAACCGUUGGAUUAAAUUUGAAUGGUCCGGAUGACUUGAUCAAGAGGAUCCCCAUCCUGAACUCAGGAGGAUCCUCUUCCAUUUUUAAAUUUACACGUAUUAAUUAUGAUUCAAAAAUAAAAUUAAAUAUAUGCGGGUCGGUUUGGUUAACCGCACCCUAAAAAUUUUGAGAAUCGAUUGCCAAACCGAUUAAGAUCGGUACGGUUUGGUUUAGCCAUCGAAAAUUAAAAAAAAAAAAAAAACAACCCAAGCUUCGGGUGGGAUUCAAGCAGUUUAGUCGGUUUUUUUUUUAAAUGCCCAGCCGUAUGUUCUACGUAGAACCCAACGUAAUUUUUUUAUCUAAAUAAUUAAGAUCCCCGUAAGCAAAUUCAUCAAUUAUACUUUACUUUAUAGAUUUUACAUUUUUCGAAUUCUUAAAAAUAUUCCUAUUACAUGUUUGAUGUAAACAAUUAAUUCUAUAUGGGUUCUUAGCUUUGAUGAUCGCUAAAGGUAAAUUUGAACCCCAUUAUUACUAACACAUUGUGAGACUUAGUCCACUCUCCAUCCUUUCAAUGUAGAUAAUAUCAUUUGUUAAAAAAAAAACAAUAUAUCUUUUACCUUUUAGUUAGUCAUAAUUUUUUCAUUUCUCCCCUCAACUCGGAGAUAAAGAGUUAUGUAUUUCAAUACAACCAUACGUAAUAAUCAAGCCCUUACUUCUAUAUAUACGUGUGUGUAUGACAAGGUGAUAAAUCAACUUAAGCCUUUUCCCAGUUCAGCAAAAAUCAUUUUGCCUCAAGCUUCUAAUGACAGUUGCAAAAAUGGAUUCUCUGCCUUAUGCAAACUCUAUCACUGCUGGCCUGUUCACAGUAAUCAUCGUGUUCUAUUACUUAUCUCGAAGAUGGAGAGCUUCCAAUCACGAGGGCAAAUUAUCACCACCAGAAGCCAAGGGUGGAUGGCCUAUAUUUGGUCACCUUCAUUUGUUCGGAGGCCCCACACCUCCUCACAUAACUUUGGGAGCCAUGGCGGACAAGUACGGACCCAUUUUCACUAUCCGCCUUGGCGUCCAACCGUCGUUGGUGAUAAGCAGCAGUGAGAUCGCAAAAGAAUGCUACACAACCAAUGACUUGAGCAUACUCGGUCGCCCAAAGAUGGUGGUUGCAGAUCACGUUACCUACAACUAUGCCAUGUUUGCGUUCGGACCACCUGGACCCUAUUGGCGACAAAUUCGCAAGAUCGUUACCUUGGAGUUGCUCUCAGUCCGGAAGGUUGAGCUGCUCAAGCACAUUCGAGUGUCGGAAGUGGCUACUUUCUUAAAAGAAUUGCACGACCAUUGGAGUACAAAGAAAAAGGAGGGCUCGAAAGAUGGAGUGGUUGUAGAGCUAAAGCAAUGGUUUGGGGACAUGAUGCUGAACGUUAUUCUUACAAUGGUGGCUGGAAAGCGGUUUUCGGUGGCUGCCACUGGGGGGAUGAGAGAAAAGAAGCGCGUAGGGUUCAGACUGCAUUGAGGGAGUUCUUUGAUUAUCUGGGCAUGUUUUUGGUGGGUGAUGCGGUUCCUUAUCUGCGGUGGUUGGAUUGGGGUGGACAUGAGAAGGCAAUGAAGAAAAGUGCAACGGAAAUGCACGCCAUUAUUGCAGAGUGGCUUGAAGAGCAUAAGCAGAGGAGAGCAAAAGGUGAUGCAAAAGGAGAAAAGGACUUCAUAGAUUCGUUGCUUUCUGUGCUUGAUGGUGCGGACCUUGGCAGUUUCGAUGCUGAUACGAUCACCAAAGCCACAAGCGUGGUACGUAUAUAUAAUUUAUUAAAUUUGCAGGCAAAUAAUUAACCAUAAAAGGCUGGAGUUAGACACUAUACACAUAAAGAUUUUAUUUUUACUUUUCAAUACUUAUAAGCUAAUUGCAUAGUCUAUAAAAAGAAAAUGAAAACAUUAGACGAUAAUAUUUUUUUUUUUUAAAAACAAAUUAUGUCCAAUUUUAUAUAUGACUCAUGUGACAUAUUUGUCGGCUCACCAAUGGGUGAUGGUAAAGAGAUUAUCUUCUUAGACUGUAUAUGUAGAAUACAUGAUGUAGCGAUUGUUAGAUUCUUUCUUUAAAUCUUUAAUAAUGAAAUCCAACCAUCAAUUAUCAUAUUCUUUGAUUUACAAGAUGUGAUUUAAAAAUAUAAUCACUAACAUUUUCGUCGCCUAAAGAACGUAUAAAUGUUAAUCAAGCAAAUAUUCCUUGGGCAGAAUAUUAUUGCAGGAGGUGGCGACACCACCAUGGUGCCAUUGACGUGGGCAAUAUCAUUAUUGGUGAACAACCCUCAAGUUUUGAAAAAAGCUGUAAACGAACUGGACACCAAAAUAGGCAAACAAAGAGUUGUGAGUGAGGAAGAUAUAAGCAACUUGGUCUACAUCCAAGCUAUUGUAAAGGAGACGUUACGUUUGUACCCAGUAGGACCAUUAUCAGGGCCGCGUUUAUUCACCGAAGAUUGCACCAUUGCUGGCUACCAUAUCCCAAAGGGCACCCGGUUGAUCCCGAACUUCUGGAAGAUCCAAACUGACCCGAAAAAUUGGCCUGAGCCAUUCGAGUUCAAGCCAGAGAGAUUUCUUACCACACACAAGGAUGUUGAUCUGAAGGGUCGGCAUUUUCAGUUUCUUCCUUUUUCAAGUGGUAGAAGAUCAUGUCCUGGUUUGGCAUUUGGUCUUCAACUGGUGCAAUUUACAUUGGCUAGUUUUCUGCAUGCGUUUGAAAUCUCAAACCCGUCGAGUGCACCAAUUGAUAUGACAGAGAGUUUUGGAAUAACCAACGUUAAGGCAACUCCACUCAAUGUUCUCAUCAAACCUCGUUUAUCUUCUGAACUUUAUAAAUAAAAGAAGAAAAUACAGAAUAUUAUGUGUACGAUAUGAAUAAGAGAUUUUCGUUGUUAUUAGUUAUGUAUAAUUAUGUGUCCAUCUUUGUAAUCGUAAAAUCAAUAAAUCAACUGCCAAUGUAAGAUACAAAACCUAGCAAUAAUGGGUGUUUGAGAAUGGGUAUAUUUAGCAAUAAAAAAGUACCCCAAAAAAGCCUCUAUUUACAUUUUCAAUUGGGCUAUCUUUUGGGUCUGUUGCCUCCGGAUUUUUUGAUUUUCAAUUUGUUUGUAAAGAACCCACCCAUUUGCCAGCAUAAACAGGACAAAUUAAAAUAGUCUGAAGUGCAAAAUUUGCAUAGCAAUGACAUGUUUACUGCUUAAAUCACUUUGCAUAUCAGUAAUGUGAUAUUUCUAGCAUUAUUUGUAGGGCAGAAAAGAAAUCCAAGUAAACCGAAUUCGAUCCGAAAAAUUUAGGCCCAACUUGAGAAAAGCCAAACCUGAAAAUUCCAAAUUAUUUGUUAUCGAAACCAGUGUUCUAAAAAUCGGCCUAGGCGGCCGCCUAGGCACUGGGCGGAGGUGUGCCGAGGCGAUUAGGUCCGAAUCGUUAAGAAAAAUCGGGGAGCUGUUAGGCGCCCGCCUAGGCGUUCUUAGGCGGCCUGGGCGGUCUAGGCGGCUAUCUAGGCGGAGUGAAACGAUUUCCUGGGAAGAAAUUCCAAACAGAAAUCGAAAAUCACAAACUCAAAUUUAAACUUGAAAUUAACAUGCAGAGCAUGGGUUAAGCUACCUGAGUUUCUAACGGGACUAACUCGAGCUCAUGGGACCCCAAGUUCGACGGGUCCCUCGCCGGAGCUCCACGCCAGAAGCUCAAUUUUCAAAGGUUGUAGUUCGAUUCCAUUAGAGCAACUCUCACCGAGAGAACCCCUGCUUGGAUUCUCCUACUUUCCAUUAAAUCAAAACAGGAAUGGCACCAGUCAAUGAGGGAGAAAGGAAACGAGGGAAAGGAGGGAGAGGAGAAGAAGAGAACCGGUCAAUCCAGUUUUUCCACCCGACCCGCCAACUUGACCCACUCAUAUCUCUUCCAUACGAACUCCGUUUUGGGUGAUCUUGGUGUCCAUGGAAAGCCCUUGACGAGCCCUACAUCUCUGUAGUGUUAGAUUUCCCAAUUUGUUUCCCAUUUUUCUAGUUCGAAGCCACAAAGCCCAUGGCUUUUUCGAUGGAUUUAAUCUUUUUUCGGUGGCUCCGGCAAGCUUCACCAUCGAUGACCACCACCAAAAGACUCCUCUCAACCCUAGGAGCAACGCCCAAGCCUUUGAUGAGGUGACGAAGUUCGUUUUGGUGACGAAUCGACAACUACCCAAAUAGGGUUUCUGGCGGGUUCGAGUCAAUUUGGAGCAUUUUCCAGCCAAAUUGGACUUGACCACAGGUAAAAGUUUGUUUUACUCUUUGAGAUCUUCAUUUAUAUAAAAUUUGAGAAUUUUUGGAAAUAGUUGAAAUUUUCCGGCGAGUCUGGAUGGCUGACCGCCACCCAUGGCAGUGAGUGGCCAGAGGGUCGUUGAUGCUAAUUUUAGGCUAAAUUAGAUACCUUGAUUUCAGUUUUGAUAUUCGUAUGAUGUAGGUUGAUCGUUUGAACCUAAAUUCACUACGAUACCUUACUUGAUCAAAAUAAUGAAUCGACGAUCCGACCGUUAGAUUGUCACUAAACUUUGAGACCUUAUCGUAUGUAAUAUUUCAGGACCUUAGGAUUUUAAAGAUCGGGAAUCCAACGUACGAAUCUUCCCGAAUUGGAUUUUCAAGUUUAUAAAAUAAAACGUUGACUGCCACGUGAUUUCAUGAUUGGCGGAGAUCCGACCGUUGGAUCGGAAUGAAAUUUUAGUAUGUUGUUCUAGAAGCGUAAGGUGAACUACGAAUGGCUUGAUCCCUUCGUUUAGUGUAUGUUGGCAGUCUAACUAGGAUGUUAGAUGCAGCCAUAAAUUAAACAAAAUGAUUAUUUUUUUUAGUGUAGUUAGUUAGAAUUAUAAUUAACCAUUAUUUUAUUGUGGCCUACCUGUGUGUUUGGCUUCCGAAUUAGAAAUUUCGGGUCGUUACAAUGAGGGUACAAUUCGGAAUGGGGAUAUGCAGGUAUAUAUUGAUUUCAUAUCUGUUGUAUUGGUUGAAGCUUUAUUAACGGUACUAGAGUUGUUAAAUUUGUCCACCAUAUAUAUUCAAUAAAUUAUGUCCCAAUGUUGUUGUUGCUGUUACUCAAUAAUGGGGUUUCUUAAGGUAGACUGUUAUCAAGUUCGAAUUUUCUAAUUUUCUUUCUACAAAUUAUUUUGUGUUUUAGGAACUGUAGUUGUAUAAUUUUAAGUGACUGAAAAUUGGAUUUGGUGAUUCUCUGUUUUUUUUUCUUUUAUUAUUUUUAUUAAUUGCCAUAUACAACUUUUGUGUAGGUUUAUGUUGCUGUAAUUUUGCAUUGCCUAUUGAAUAACACAUUAUAAUCUUCCAAUAAAUGGAGUCUUUGUCACUUAUACAUCAUAUAUUGCAAUCAAAUAAGGUGAAUUCUAAAAUAAUGGAGUCUUAGGCUCUUAAUGCAGAUAACAUUGUUUGUUCAAAAUAAGUACGAAGGUGAAUUCCAAAAUUAAAAGGAAACCCACAAUUUCUUACAAAAUUAUAAUAAACGCAUCUCUGUUAAUAGGUGUUGACGCUGUAUCACAAAAAGUCUUAUUGCAGUAAGCAAAUCAUUUGUUAUAUUAUUUUAUUAUACUUUAUGUUCUUGGUACAUAAAAGUUGAGAGAGGGAGAGAUGAGGCACUCUUACCUAGGCUAAGAGCAACUUCACCACCGUUGCUUAUUACCUUGGGGAAAUACCCAACUACUCCACUUCCUUAAAACACUCCACCCUACUCGAGCAAUUGGGCUCAAGGCGAGCUCGAUGGAUUAGUCAGACAAUAAUCAUUUGGCCCAGUGUCCUGUUUAUAUGAUGCAAGGCUGGCAUCAUUCACAAUUUAAUUUAGGAAAUUGUUAUUGGCACUCCAAAUUUCUCAUUUUACACUCUAAAUUUUUUAUAUUUAGAAAGAAAAAUACAUUUGUGAUGAGUGUAGAAUGAGAUUUUUGUAGUGUCAAUAACACUUCCCUUUAAUUUAUUAAAAAUCAUUAUAAAAUAUUAAAAAAACUAAUUACAAAUAUAAAAAAUUAGAAUUUUUUCUAUAAAUACCUAUCCACGUUCUUUCACUUUACACUACAUUUCAACAUUUUCAAAUACAUUCACCAGUUUUUUAUUAUUAUUAUCCUAAAUUAAAAAUAAUAUUAUCUUUCAUUAUUUUAUAAAACAAAAAAUACUAAUAUUUUAAUACGAAUUGCCUAGGCUAUUCAGUUUAGGGGUGGAGAUGCACUUAGGCAAUUAUUUUCACUGCCGACAGUUACUAUUCAUUUAAGGGGAUUGAGUUGCCUGUUGCCCAAAAGGGGCCUUACUACACUGGAACUACUCUAAGGUAUACCACAAGCCUCAUUGAGGAUUUAGACAGGAGUCCUAAUUCCUUUUUUUAGUUUUUACAUAUUGCUCAUCAAGAGGGAUUGUCGGCAUCGAAACUCGAAUUUAGACCUUUAUAUUAUUUACUCAUGUUGACUAGUUUAUUAUACUUUAGUAAUAGGCUAAAUAGCUAAAAUGGUCCCUGAUUUGCAUAAUCAAUAGAAAUGGUCAUUGUGAUUGUCCACCAUCCAUGAUUCUUUUGGGCAAUUUUCAAAACUUCGUAACUCAAUUAAUUCUAAACCAAAUUCGAUCCAUAAUAUAUCAAAAUGAAGAUAGGAAAGUGUAAAACAAGAUUAUACCUAUUUGGAAGCCCAAUGGUUGCCGGAUAUAACCCGAAAAUAGCCUGAAAGGUGGCUGGUCCGCGGAAAAACUGACAACUCGCCGUAAACUGUGUAAACUUUAAACGUUCAUAACUUCUUCAAUACUCAACGAAAUCGAGUGAUUCUGUUUGGGCUCGAUUUUACAAUAUCGGCUCGAGCCAUCAAGGUCGUUGAAUGAGUAGGUUCUAGGCCGUUGGAUUUCUUAUUUUUCUAGAUAUUACUAUUGGAUUAUUAUAGUAAUUAUCUUAUAAAAUAUAUUUUUGGAAGCAAAGGAGAUCAAUUUCAGUUUGAAUUGCUACACUUACAUGAUUGGUUUGAGAGCUAACGUGGCAAGUUAAAAGAUUAUCUUCCCUGCAUUUAUGCAAAUACAAUGGGGUAAAAGAUGAGAUCAUAUUGGUCAAGGUUAGUUGGCGUGGAUAAAAAUGAUCUGAUGACCUUCUUUGGUUGGUCAACGAGGUGAAAUAGGUGAUCAGGAAAUCAAUGCAUGCGUUGGAUAAAGAUUACGAUGUUGAUGGAAUUACGAUAAGGGAAAAGUAAAAAUGGUGAUGUGCUUGAAAGAUGACUUUACACGUGGUGGUGAUAAAAGAUGGCAGUAAUUAUCUUGUUGAGUAGGCUAAAUGAUUUAGCAUAUUGGUAUAGACUUUUGCGUUAUGAGCCAGCAUGUGGUUGAUGGAUAUUUGGGAUAAUUCAAGAGGUUUAGUCUCGGUUGGUUUCUAGGAAAUCACCAAGGCCACGGGAUCAAUUUGGGAUAAUUUGAGAAGUUUAAGUCUCGGUUGAUUUCUAAGGUUAAGGGAUCAUGCAUACUUGAGAGAAUAUUCCCAUUAUUGACGACGACAAUCCUAGUGUUCUGCUAUUAUAAAUACAAGGGGUCAUCAUUCUAAAGGUCCCUUUCAAUUCAACACACAACUACCCUGCGCAAAUUCUCUCAACAACCUUGAGACUUUUUCCUUUUCUAUUUUCGCUGACACACCUUCAGUUUGGAUAAACAGCACUGUGAAGGCAACCGGUAGUAUCUUCAAUCGGCAUACAUAACACUGUCACUGUAGAAUCAGCCGACCUCACAGCAUCUUCAGUUUGGAUAAACAGCAUUGCGUCGAGGGCGACUGGUUAUCUAUCCAAGUCUUGAUCGAGAAGGAUUUCCGAGUCCUUGUUGGUUGAGGUCAUCUCAUCAGCCUUCUCGGCGAAGUGAGGUGUUAUAGUUUAUUGGGCUCGGCACACUACACGCCGAGUUAUUUUAUGAUUGGAUACUCACAAGUGGGAUUUAAAGUUUGGCAUUCAAACGGCCGAACCACGUUUACUGUUAAGACUUAUAUUUGCUUUGAGUAUUUAUGCCCUUACACUUUGGUGUCGAUUCAGCGUGAGUUUACUCUGACGAAUAUUAUCACUGUGACCGAAUUCGACGACAACGAUUUGUGAACUUCGUAAGAAUAGUAGCCUUGUCUUCAGGUUCGAGAACCCAAGAGGCCGAGACGUGUUCCUUCCUCGGUCGCAAUAGCAAGACGCAAAAGUCGACCGCAUACCCAACGCAACGUCAACAAAUUUUACUCAUUGGCCGAGCUCGGUCGACGAGUUGGCACGCCCCGCACACAACCGAAGGACGUAGUUAGCUCAUAGAUUACUUAGCCUGCGUGCCACGUAGGCUUGGUAGUUUUUAGGGUCAACAUUUUGGCACGUCCAGUGGGACCUAGUGCUAAUACUACGAAGUUCAUAUGAUAUAUCAAGAUUCCAAUCUCGUUCAAUGCAGCUGAUUGUGCGAGCUCUUAGAGGAAUUGAAAAAACACAAUGAGGAACGUAAAAAAUCUUAGGAAGUGGAAAAAGUUCUUCGUGGCCAUAGAGAGAUGCAAAAGUCAUUCGCUUACAUGUUGAGAAUAAACGCUCAUGUUACCCUGCAUGAGCAAAGGGUACAUGAAGACAGGGCUCGAUUUAAUGCCUGGCUAGAUGGAGAACAUUUUCCUUACGUUUUCGACUACUUAUCAAUUCCAUUUGAGGAAUGGUUGGUUGAAAAUACCGGGGGGUAAUUUUUCGCUCCGGCCGUAAUCAAACAUCGGCCUAAGAAAAUUGUUAAUUUGGCCAAAGAACAAAGGCCACCUAUUUUUUCGGUCGAGGCUGAAAAUAUGGUCGGCCAAGACAAAAAACCUAGGCCACCUAUUUUUUCGGUCGAUAUUGAAAGUGUGGUAGGCCUAGAAGGAAAAAUUCAAGUUUAUGAGCCACAAAUCGACUCAGAAAAUGAUUCGACUGAACAGUGCUCCAAUGAUGAACAAGGCUGAGACAUAGGCCUAGUCGGAAAAACCACGACAAUUGAUAUGAUUAUUGGUGAUAAAGCCGAUAUGGAGAAAUCUCAUUCGGUUAAAUUGUUUAAGUUAAAAGUUGAAAUUGGCAAAAUUAUUAUGCCCGGGGGGCGUAGUAAUUGUUCAAUACAUUCAGUAGUCGAUGAUAAAAAAUAUUUCACUAAGUCAAAAGUAUUUGGAGAUGAUUCUUUAUUCGGCCUAGAGCAAAAUCAAUUUCAAAAUUUUGUUAUUACAAGAUCUCGGCUUGGAAUAAAGCAUCGUUGGCCUUCUCCUGACUAUGGUUCGGCUACUUUUAUUUCCAUUUAAAAAAAAUAAAAAAGAAUAAAUUAUUUUCUUAAUCAUCUGGCUAAUUAAGUCGAUGCAUAAGAAAAUAAGGGGGCAACAACACUGCAACAAUCCAAAUAUAUAUAUAUAUAUAUAUAUUAGUUGGCCGAGGAAGUAAUCCAAAUUUGCUAAGAAGACGUGAUAUUGCAGCAUGUAUUUCAUUGUGUGUUUUCUGACGGUCGAGAGUCGGAAAAAAAAAAAACACUUUCAGCCUUUUAGGCCGAGGAUAAGCAAGAAGCAUAAGGGAUUUCAAAGGCCAAGAGUCGGGAAGAAAAUUCAGUGGAAUUGGAUUUCGGUGGGUCUGCACGGCCUUGGAUCUCACUGAGGUGAGGUUUACUGUUAAGACUUAUAUUCGCUUUGAGUAUUUGUGCCCUUACACUUUGGUGUCGAUUUGGCGUGAGUUUACUCUGACAAAUACUAUCACUGUGACCGAAUCCAACGACGACGAUUUGUGAACUUCGUAAGAAUAGUAGCCUUGUCUUCAAGUUCGAGAACCCAAGAAGCCGAGAUGUAUUCCUUCCUCGGUUGCAAUCACAAGACGCAGAAGUCGGCCGCGCACCUAACGCAACGUCAACAAAUUUUACUCCUCGGCCGAGCUCGGCCAAUGAGUUGGCACGCCCCACACACAACUGAAGGACUUAGUUAGCUCAUAUAUUACUCGGCCUACGCGCCAUGUAGGCUUAGUAGUUUUUAGGGUCAACAGAUUCAAAAACGAAAAAAUCAUACUUCUUGACGAGACGAAGAUAAUGGUACUUUUCUUGACCGCUAACUCGUCGUGGUUUGGCAGGAAAAAAGCUCGAAAGUGCCACUUUCGAGCCCUUUUUUUAUUUUUUAUUUCUCAGGUGAUUAAUACAAAAAAUAAGUGAGGAAUUUUGACAUGCAUCAAANAAGCAUAAAAAUUACUUUUGUCGAAUUUACUUUUUCUCAUAAGCUUAAGAACUACUGCUUACAUAACUCAUAAGAACUUUUAAUUCUUUCUUGGGGUAAAAGUGAAACGACAUAGGUCAUUAAGGAUUAAGCGAGUCGAAUCAGUCUUUAGAACUCGGUCGUCGAUUUGCUUCAACAGCCUACCUUCCCCCGCUGGGAGCGAUUGUGAUUUUUCAAAAUUUGAAGUCCUCAGAAAAGAAUUCAAUUCCAUUGGGUUGAGUGUCAUUGUCCUCAUCGUCGGCAUAUUCGAUGGCUUUGUGGGUAGUGUGUACGUGACCAUGAGUUUUGGUUAAGCAUGCCCUCCAUAUUUGAUUUUCAAUUCCUACACAAAUAGAAGUAUGCAACAAUCAGGUACGCAUUUACAUCAAUGAAUAAUAGAGGGGAGAAGAACAAGGUAGGGAUGGGAUGGAUCUUGACCCACAUGGAAUUGAUGUGUGAUUCUAUAGGAAUUGUGACCAACCAAAUGUUUAGGUUUAUUUUUUUUUCCCAAAUCUUUUCAUUUGAAGGAGAAAAUAUGUGUCCUUUGUCAUAUAUAAAAUAUAUAUGCCCUACCAGUCACCUAGUUGAUCAUUUGGGUAAUCAAAUUAUCUGUAUUAAAUUGUGGAGCACUUCCUUCUAAUACAGGUAAUACCCAUUAAUCUAAUCUAAUUGAUACAUUACAUUACAAAUUUUGUUUUUUUUAAAUGUGAUUAGUUGGUAGCUUCACUAUGACAGUUCACCUUUUUUAGGGCCGAAAAGACUCACAGAAAUAUUUCAGACUCUCCAUAGGCACUUCAUCAGCUCUAGAAAUCGAAUACAAUACGUAUUAUGUAGAAUACGAGCCAGAUACCAUUUCUUUAAUUAAAAACAAAUAUUGGUUUAAAAAAUCAAGGUUUUGGUCCAAUGUGCAUUUUCAGCACUCAACCAAAAGCAAAACACUUCACGAAUCAUGGCCAUGAGAUGUGCCCUUUUGACAAAAAAUUAAUAAGUAAUUAAUUUGGCUUUGACAACCCCAAUUAUCCCCUAGAUAAUACCAUUUUAUAAUCCUAAUGAUUAAAAUAUUGAAUCAAAGGUUUCACAUGGUGGUUAGUCGCUAUCGAAUAAAUCUAAUUGAUGCUACAACACAACAAGUUGUCCCACUCCACAUGAUGCUUCAUCCGUGUAAUCCAUAUAUAAACCAAUCUUUCCAAUACCUAAUUAAACCCCGUAUUUAAUUAUAUUAUCAUCCCAGAAUCAUGUGUACAUUUUUAUGUUUAUAUAUAUUGGAAAAUAUAUUUUUAUUUAUUUAAUUCUCUAAUCAAUGAAUUUGAGCAAGAUGCAUAUGGUCAUGGUUUGCUGAAAGCAUAUAGAAUAUCAUCAAGGUGACAAAUUAAUCCACAGAACAUAUUUUGAAUGAUGAAACUUGUAGUAAAAAUCACUCUCUAUUUUUUAUUUUAAACCUUAUGUUUUCAAAAAUGUGUCCAUUUUUUCUUCUUCUAUGUAAGCUAAUUGGAAUUAAUUUCAACUGCGGAUCCAAAAAUUAUACUCAUGAGGUCUUGGUGUAUAUAAGAUUUAUGUCUAGUUAGAGCAUUGAGGCAUUUUGUCAAGCAUUUUAGUUGCAUGUAAACAUUUGUCAAGCCAUGUGCUAGGCGAUCGAUAUAUGGAGAGCCAUGUUGCAUCUAUCAAGCAAUGUUGUUGAAGCUUGCCAAGCAUCAUUACCGAGAUCUGUCGAGCAUGCAUAUCAUCAAAACAUUAGUAGGAAAGGGACCUACCAAUCCAUUCUCCUAUCUUUCGGGGGUCUUGGGACCUGAUGGCCCUUUAAUGGUGUAGAGAGCUACUUCCGUAUUCGAGACCAGAAUAUCGUCUCUCGUUUUCACCUCCUUUGCAAUGAAGAAAAAAACUCAAAAAAGGAACUAGAUUUCCCACAAUUAGCCUGCCAGCUGAAGCAACGUGACUGAAUUACUUAAGCUUGAAUUAACCCAAUAUCAAGCUAAGAGAGUUAACCGCACUUUCAAUACACUUCCAACCCCUAUACCAAUAAUAUUGUUCAACCCAUUAAUUAAAUUUCAUUGCCUCUACCAACCAACAGUCCAGAAAACCAGCUGAAAACUUAUGUGUUUGCCAAUAUGUUAGUUGCCCUCUACCCAUCUCCCAUCUUCCAUCUUCCCAUGAUUCAAGCAAGGGCAACCUUCUCUAUCUUUAUUUCUUCUUUAUUCAAGUUUCUGUUAGAGGUCGCACUUGGUGUGAUGGCAAGUGCCUCGCCCAUGAGCGGUAGUCUCGGGUUCGAGACUUGGGAGCAGCCUCUCCAUAAAUGGGGUAAGGCUAGCCGACAUUCACCUCUCCCAGACCCUGCUAAAGCGGGAGAGCCUUGUGCACUGGGUAGACCUUUUUUUAUUCAAGUUCUGUUACAUUUUCAUUUGUCUUCCCAACGGCAACGAAAGGGGAUUGACAUAGCUUGAGAGACCUAAUUGUUUUUCUUGAUCAAACUGAAACCCCAAACUGGCAUUGUCAUAAAUUUCACCAAAUGAAACUAUUAGCUAAUAUCUUGUAUUUAGCUCCGGAAUCCGAUCCAUUUGAAUAUUACAAAUGCAUACGAUACGUCAAUUACUUCCAAAUGGAAUACAUAUAACGAGAGCCACUAUGUUAUCUAUUUAUCAGUCACAAUUGCAUAACUAGACGGCUUUUGAUUUAAGUGAGUUUUUUUAUACUUUAAUCAUAACCUAGAAAAUGAUCGUUCAGUUAUAAAAAUAUUGUACAAUAAACAUAUAUUAAUGAUUAGAACGUCGUAAAUUACUUACUGGUUGACUUGAACGGUCUAUAUUUUAAUAUGAACAAAGAGAUAUCCAACAAAUUGGUCAAUUUUGGAGCGAGGAUCCCUGUGAUUCUCAAAUCACAUCCGUUCAUCAUACAUCGUAUGGUCAAAAAUCAUUGUAAAUUUUUUAUUUAAAAUUGAAUAUAAAUAGUAGUUAUGAAAACUGAUCGACGAUAUACGAUAAAUUGAUGUAAAAUUCCCAAAUCUUCCCAAAGAGAUCCGGCAAAUCCUCUCUCAUUUCCUUGCCAUAAGAUAUUGCAUUUGGUGGCAAUGAAAAAUACUAGCACGCAUAAUCAUAUACAAGUAAACCAAAUGUUUAAUUAGAUAUUUGCAAGUACAAUCUACAUGUUCGAUUUGAGUACAAGACAACUUUGCCUAACAAGAAAAAAAUACAAGGUGAAGAGACAAGAAGACUCAUAUGAUGACUAGGGUUUCGAUUAAUUUUGGUUAAUAAGUCAAAAAAAUUUGGCAAAGAACGGUAGUUGCCCAAGUCUAAUCCUUUGGAAUACAAAUGAGCAUACUCAAACUACACAAAAACAUAAACUUGUUUUAAAUGUUAAAUUAGGUUAUGUCUUGUCAUUGGGCUAUUUACAUUAUUAGUGACAUGAAAAGUUGUCAACUCAAAAAUGAUCAAAUGUAAAGCAAAUAACAUUUAUUAGUGACAUAUAACAUUUUAGUUAAAAAAGAGCCAUGUCAAGUAAAAGUUACUCAACAGAAUAGAAAGUUAGAUUUGAUUCAACCAUUCCAUUAUACAUACACAACUCGUUAAACUCACCGUCACUUAGUCCUAUAUAAAUUUACGUAAGAAUAAUUCUCACUGAAGAUUACUUUAAGAUCAUCUUCAAUAUAGAUGUCAAUUUAAUUUUAUACCAUGUGGAGAUAAAUUUUUCCAGGAGCUUGAGAAGAAAUGUGCGGUGUACAUGCGACGCGAUGUGUACGGCACCAUGGGACGCGACGGAUUGCCGGUGAAGGAGAAAGUGCUGCUAGGGCUCGCGCUGGUGACUCUGGUUCCGAUACGGGUGGUUCUAACGACGACGGUGUUGGUGCUGACGACGACGGUGUUGGUGCUGUACUACUUGAUUUGCCGGAUUUGCACUCUCUUCAAAGUCCCCAAUCACGAUGAGCAGGAGCAGGAGGAUUACGCGCACAUGGGAGGAUGGCGGCGGGCGGUGAUUGUCCAGUGCGGCCGCGCCUUAUCCAGAGUAAUGCUCGUUGUCUUCGGCUUCUAUUGGAUCAGCGAAACCCAUCGAAUAUCAUCGGAUUCUGACCCCAAACCCGCCGCCCAGGUACUCUCUCUCAUCGUUUCUCUCUCUAAAGCAUGAAAAUUGAUUUCGUGAGAUUUUGAGCAGUGAAUUUUGAUGUUAAAUUUUUGGUUAGGGAAAAGAUGGGGCCGAAGAGAAGGAGCCUGAAAGGGCAGGGGCGAUUAUAUCGAAUCACGUUUCGUAUUUGGAUAUCUUGUAUCACAUGUCUAAUUCGUUUCCGAGCUUCGCUGCCAAGGUUUGCCACUCUCUUCACUUGUUCUUACUAAUUUUAUGGCACCGGAUGUGAAUUUUGAUUGAAAGAUGUUCCAUUUUUAUCUAUCUCGACCUAUUAUCUAUGUAUUGAUUCCCAUUUUUUGUUAUCCUGGAUUUUGUUGGUGAAGAGAUCGGUGGCGAAAGUUAGUAGUGUUAGACCGGGUCGUUAGUUUGUUUGAAGUCUUGUAUUUGGUUUCAAAGACUUCUCUCUUCGGAGUUGGAUAGGCUUAGGACUUUAUGUAAAUAGGGUUUUCAAACCCUGAAUGUAAUCUAUAUAUUGGCUAUAAAUAUACGCAACCCAAGUCUUUCUGGGUAUGCAAAGUUGAUGUGAAGCAACCCUCUUGUCAAAUAUACAAAACCUGCAGUCUCUUUUCAAAGACUGUUUCAUUUGCUUUCGCUUCCUUUAAUUUCAUUAUGUUUCUGAAAAUCUGUAGUUUAUCUGUCACCAUAGUAUUCCGUCAAUUCAUUUUCGGAUUGUUAGUUUUGACAGCAAGUGCCUGGGUUGUGUCUAUAUUCAGCGGGAGUUUUGUAAACACUCGUAAUGUGUUCACCGUAACUCGUGUGUUAUUGGAGGUAUCUAAGUUGAAAACUAUGAUCGAUCACAAGCGGAUUAUAUAACGAGUUUUCGGUUGGCUCCAGAGAGGAAGUAGCUGAACACCGAUUAUCCAAGAGGGUUCGAGUCAGAUUGUUGCUUACGGGAGGAGGUAAGAGCUCAGAACUAAUGGGAGAUUUCUCCAUGGCAUUGGCUUUUGCACUCUAAAAUGGAGGAAAGCUCGGGAGGACGGAUACAUCUAGCACAAGUUCAAUGCUUUAAAUGAAGUUUAUAAAAUUAACGAUUUAAGUUUUUAUGAUGAAAAUACAUUAUUCAAAAAAGGUGAAAUAUGUUCAUUACCCUGUGUGAAGAACGCGAGUAUGGAAGGAUUCUACUAUAAAAAAUAAGGGUGGGCAUAAAAAUCAUGGAACCGUGAAACCGAAUCGAACCACAACAAAAGAGACCAUAAAAUACAGUGUUGACAAAAAAAAAUAAUAAAUAAGUCAACUUAGGUUAUAGAACCGGACUGAAUCGUUCAUACCAAUUUCGAUUCUAGUUUUCACCUUAGAAGAACCGGCCAAACCAAAAUGAACGGCGAUUUUAAAUAAUUAAUCAAAAUUUAUUAGUUGUAUACAAGCGUCAUUAGAUAAGUGGUAAAAAACAAAUUGGUUUCACGUACUGCAACUGCACUUAAUCAUUUCUCAAUUAGGUUUUGUGUUCUUUCUUUUGAUCGAAUCGUCAUUCCUUAGUGCCUCGCUCGUUUGAUCCUCCUCCUCCAGUCCUUCCUCUCAUGAUAUUGGAAUCAAUUGUAGCAAUGCAAAUGGGCAUUCAAGGCCAGAUAAUUUAUUCCCUUCUGUGAUUUUUAUAUGGCAUUUGACUUGGUCUUGUACGUUGUGCUCUCAAAAAUUUAAUCAUGCCAUCAUGACGUAUUUCAACCAGUUACCACUUCUUGGUUCUUGGUUUUCUUACAAAGUCGGACUCAUAUUCGUUAUUUGGGCUGCAAGUAAUAAAUGCCCAAGUCUCCUCUGGAUCUCCCAAAAAAAAUAUCUAUCGUUAAAAGGAUAAACUCUAGACUAAUAAUACCAUAACUUUAACUAUUUAAUUAUUGAAUCAAUUGAUACUUUUAACAAUAAAUUAAAAAGGUGUUUCAAAGUUUUGACCUUGAGUAAGGACUUACUGAUCACUACUUUUUUCGUUAUUGAUACCAGCGUUUGUUUAUACAUUUUGUGUGUAUGAAUAUUUUUUUUAAAUGAGAAGGAGAGAGAGAGAGGUUUUUGUUUUUGGUUUUAUUUUUUAUUUAUUUUAAAUAUUACAAAUACUUUAACAUAACCUGUGAGGUUUCAAUAAAAACAGUAAAAUUUAGACCUAUGAAAUUACAUUAUUGCUCAUUAUUUAUUUUUUUUUAUGAUAGAAGACUAAAUAGUAUUUUCACCCUCUUUUGAUUGACAAAGGGAGUUAUAUUAACUAAUAGAAAUGCAGUAAUGAUAACUCGUCCUCCUUCAAAGUAACAUGGUGCGAAUUGGUCGACGAGCGGGUUAGGGGUGGCUGUCGAGAUGAUGGGGUGAUUGACUUUUUGUGAGUUUAUUUGUAUUUCUUUAAUUUUUAUUAUAAGAAAAGGAUAAAUUGCAUUUUGCACCCUUAAAUUUUAGUGAGAUUGCAUCAUCAUAUAAUAACUUUAAAAUAUUUCAAUCUCAUAUAUUUACUUAUCAUUUAUUUCAAUUUUAAACGUUCGUUAAAAAAUCUAUUAAGUUAACAGUUAAGUGAUGAUGUGGCAAAUAUAGAGUCCUUGAAAAGAAGACAAAAGGAAAAAAAAAGAAUAAAGCUUUAGUUAACGUUCCAUUAAAAGAUAGGCUUUUUAAUCAAAAUAGUCCUUGAGAUUUGCAUAACACAUCACUUUGGUCCAUAAGAUUUGAAAUCAAUAGAAGUGGUCCUUGAGAUUGUCCACUAUCAAUCAUUUUGGUUCUUAUGUGCAAAAUUAUGUUAAAUAAGGAUCAAAAUGAUAAAUAUACCUUCAAUUUAAUAAACAAUGGGCCAAAAUGAUUUGACAAAAUUAAGAGUAUUUUUUCAUUAUAUUCUUAUUUAAUGAAGAUUUUUAAAAAAAUGACCAAAAUGAUUGAUGAUGGACAAACUCAAGGACCAAUUCUAUUGAUUUCAAAUCUCAAUGAUCAAAGUAAGGAGUAAGGAGUUAUUAAAUCUCAGUAACCAUUUUAGAUAAAAAGCCUAAAAAAUAUCUAAUGGCUGAGCAUGUGAAUCCUCAUUUUUUACCUUCACCUGAAGAACCUAAAUAUUAUAAGAUUUAAUUUAAUUCAAGUCCAAUUUGAGAGUCAAUAUUAAGAAUAGUCCAUUUCUCGUGAUCUUUGACAUAAGUUCAUUCCACGUCAUCUAUUAUAUAUAAAGAGAGAAGAAAAGGUGAAUAGUAUUUUGGUGUCACCAAGCUUCAACAAAAGAAAGGGACAAAAAUGCCCCAUAAACAAAAAACUUCAAAGGCAUCCCAAAAUAAUGCAUCAAAUAAGGUAGGGGCAUUUUUGUUAUUUUAAUAGUAUUUUUUUAAUAAUUAAAUUAUUUUGUGGUUUUUUUUUAAUUAUUACCUCACAAUAGGCUACCAAUUAUUUGAUUCAAUUUAUCUAUUUCUAAACAAGACGUGUAAUGCCGAUUAUAAAAAGGAUAUUUCACACGUGGAUAAUAAUGUGAUUAAAUUAGUUGUCAAAUGAUUGUUUUUUUUGUUGUUGUAACAAAUGAUAUUAUCUAUACUAAGGGGGAGGAAUGUGAGUUUAGCCUCACAAUGGGCUAGCAACAAUGUGAUUCAAUCAGUUGUUUAUUAAAUAUUAUUUUAUCUAUUUUAAACACGUUCAAAAAAUCUUAAGAGGCUUGUAAUGCCGGUUAUAAAAAAAGUCUUUCGCACUCGUAUAAUAAUUUGAUUAAAUUAUUUGUUAAAUGAUUAUUUUUUUUAUUAACAAACGAUAUUAUCUACAUUAAGAGGAAUGAGGUGGGCUUAGCCUCACAAUGGGCUAGCAAUAAUGUGAUUCAAUCAAUUGUUUAUUAAAUAUUAUUUUCUCUAUUCUUAAUGUAAAAUUUAUAGAGAUCGAUUUUAUUAUGUGAAUUCAACUGCUUUAAUUGGUUUAUGAGGGGUUUCUUCUAGCAUGAUAUAAGAUUAUUCAUUUACUUCAAAUAUUUGACUUUCCUUUUGUCAAUUUACACACAUAUAUACAUUUAAAACGUAUAAGUCGCGCAUAGCACGUUGUGAUUCAAAAAAUAUCUUCUGCACGUUCGUGAGCGCAUGCAUAGAAGCUAGUUUUUAUUAUCUUUUAAAUUGUUAAUCUUUAUUUCAAUUUGGCCCUUAUAUUUUAAAUUAUCUCUACUCCUUUUUUCAAGGAUUUUUACUUCUCUUUUUAAAUAUCCAUUGCUAGUUUGAAUUUCUCCCUUUUGAAUUCCAAAAAGAUGGGCAUCCGCCCAUUUUCAACCUGCACACGAAAUCAAACACAUAGACAAAGUAAGUAACACUAAUGACAUGUUUACGUAAGGGUAAUCGGAAUAAAGAAAGGGAAUUGAAUUCCGAUUACGGAGUAUUCCGGUGUUUACUAAAUAUUAAGGAAUCAAAAAAGUGGUGGAGCCCACACGAAACAAGGAAUCCAAUUCCUGAAAUUGGAGGAACCGGAUUCCCUAGUUUUGUGAGGUAUUUGAAUUCCCUAAGGGCAAGGGAAUCAGGAAUGCAUCUUUUAUUCCAAUUAUGCCCUCACUUGUUUCUUAUUAUCCCAACAUUGCCUUUCAUUUGACACUCAUUAUGUCAUUUUUAAUAAAUAAAUAAAACCUAUUUAUAUUUUUUUAUAUAGAUAAUUUUAUUAUAUAAAUUUAAUUAAGAAUUUAAUUUAAUUAAUUAGUAUGAAAAUAAUUUAUUUAUGUAAGGGCAAUUUAAGAGGUUGCACUUGGUGCGAUGGCAAGUGCCUUCGCCCAUGAGCGGUAGGUCUCGGGUUCGAGACUUGGGAGCAGCCUCUCCAUAAAAUGGGGGUAAGGCUAGCCGACAUUCAUCUCUUCCAGACCAUGCGUAAAGCGGGAGUCUUGUGCACUGGGUACGACCUUUUAUGUAAGGGCAAUUUAGUCAUCAACUUAGUUUUCAUUCCGAUUGAAGUGAAUUAGUAAACAACUUAUAUAGACUCAAUAUCAUUUUUGCCAUCUUUUAAUAAAUAAAUAAAACCUAUUUAUACAUGCUUAUAUAGAUGAAUUUUAUUAUAUAAAUUUAAUUAAGAAUUUAAUUAAAUUAAUUAGUAUGAAAAUAAUUUAUUUAUGUAAGGGCAAUAUAGUAAUCAACCUAGUUUUCAUUCCGAUUGAAAUGAAUUAGUAAACAACUUAUAUGGACUCAACAUCAUUCCUACUCCGAUUCCUGACAGUUUUAGUAAACAACUUCAACAGGAAUCUGAUUCUGAUUCCACCUCAUUUCAAUUCCUCCUCAAUCCAAUUCCCCCUCAAUCUAAUUCCUCUCAAUUUGAUUACGGAUUAGUAAACACGCCAUAAAAUUUGUUGACGUAGGGUGUGUGGUCCAGGUAGUCGUAGUACAUUGGAUCACAUCCAUCACGUGCCAACGAAAACGGAUCUCUAUUGAAAUGCCGCAAUAUUAUAUGAAAAAUGUUAAGAAGAUUUUGUUGACGUAGGGUGUGUGGUCCAGGUAGUACAUUGGAUCACAUCCAUCACGUGCCAACGAAAACGGAUCUCUAUUGAAAUGCCGCAAUAUUAUAUGAAAAAUGUUAAGAAGAUUUUUUUUAAAAUGAAAUUAUAUAUAAAUUUCUGUUACUUCAUAAUUUAACGUUAAUUUUUGUGCAAAUAUUAUAGAACAUUGUGCAAAAAAUGAUGGGUUAAAAAGUUCACACAAAGUCACACUUUACGAGAAUAUUCUUAACAUUUUUUUAUGUUAUAUUGUACACAAACUAGAAAAUAUUAUAUAAGUUUAAAUAAUAAAGAUAAAGCCACGUACAGCCCUCGAAGAAAUAUCACACUUUUCACUAAUCAGCUUGAUGCUCCUUAAGUACUCAUGAGUUUUUUUGUUAUUGUUUUUUUACUAAUAAGUUUAUAAUAAUAAAAAUACCAAAUUAUAUUGUCAGACAACGUUGAAUAUGUAGGUUCAUAUGUUAAUUAUUUGAGGGGUUCUUUUAGGGCCAAUAAAAUAUAAGCAACGCCAACUUCGAAAAGGAACUACAAAAGAAACAACUUGUGAUGAUUACAAGAAUGACUCUGCACUUAAAACUACCAACGAAGUCAUUAAUUGUGUAUGUACCAUACUUCACCAAUCCCGAAACUACUGAGUACCGGUCAACGUUAUACCGUCAAUGACCCAGAAGAAUUUCCCUCCAACCAGGAAGCCAAUCGUAGCACGACACGUGUCGACAUCAGAAGCCAAUCAUAGCGCGACAAUGUCAACAUCAGAAGGCAAUCAUAACACGACAUGUGUCAAUGUCAGAAUGAAACUAGAAAGUCUCUUCUAUAAAUAUAGAUCAUUCUUUCACAAUAUUUCAUAAUGUCAUUUGUACUAAAUCAUUCACUUGUACUCACUAAAUGAGAGCUUGAACCUAUGUACUUGUGUAAAUCAUUUGCAAUUAAUGAGAACUCCUCUACUCCGUGGACGUAGCCAAUCUGGGUGAACCAUGUACAUCUUGUUUUUGCUUCUCUAUCUCUAUCCAUUUACAUACUUAUCCAUACUAGUGACCAGAGCAAUCUAGCGAAGGUCACAAACUUAACACUUUCUGUUGUACCAAAGUCCUCACUUAUUUUGUGCAUUAACAAAUUGCAUUAUGAUAAAUUGUACCAACGUCACCAUGAGACAUGAAAGAAAGACUCAAGCUCAAAAAGAAAAAUCUAACAUGGACGAAAGUCGCACUAUCUAUUAUAUAUCAAGCGAAUAGGGCAAUGAAUAGUGCCAAUUUGGUGUCACAGCUUUGACAAAAUAUUAGGACAAAAUUGCCCCUCAACCAAAACAAAUCCAAAAACAGCCCAAUAUAAUAUAUCAAAUAAUGCAGGGGUAAUUUGGUCAUCAUAAAAUAUAAUAUAAAUAUAAGUGGGAAGAGAGAAAAGAAUAAAAAAAAUAAAAAGAUGAGUAAAAGUUGAUGGUGCCCUCGUAAGGGGGAAAGAAAAAUAUAAUUAAAAGGAAAAUCAUGAAUAUUUUGUUCAAAACAUCUUACGAGGCGCGUAGUGCCAGUGAUAAAUUAGUACAUUUAAAAAAAAAAAUUAGUACCUUAUAAUAUGGGUGGGCACGAGCCGGGCCGGGUAUCACAAAUAUGAUCACUGAAACCGGACCUAACUCGGCAAAUUUGAUCACUGGAACCAGACCUAACUCGGCCCGUUUGAAAUGGCCCGGUUCGGGAUGGGUCCACGGGUCAUUUUUUCCGGUUUUGAACCCCUCCCGAACUCGCCAUCAUCCAGAAUCCUAGAUCCUAUAUCUUCGACUCUGAUACCAGAACCAAAACCUAAUUGUUUUAAAACCUCAAUUCUCAAACCAAACAAACAAACAAAAAAAAUCAAAAAAUUAGAAGGUUGGGGGAGAGAGAGAUCAAGAGGGAGGAGGUUGAGAAUCGACAAAUCCAAGGUGUGAGAAAUCGGAGACAUAUGCGUUGGGAGAGAGAGAGAGACUAGGGGAGAGAGAGAUCGAGAUGGAUGAGGUUGAGAAUCGACAGAUCCAAGGUGUGAGAAAUCGGAGACACAUGCAUUGGGAGAGAGAGAGAGAUUGGGGGGGAGAGAGAUCGAGAUGGAGGAGGUUGAGAAUCCACGUAUCCAAUGUGAAAUCGAAGACAAAGGUGUCGGGAGAGAGACUGGGGGAGUGAGAGAGGGAGGAGACUGGGUAGAGGAGAGUGACGAGAGCAUUCGAGAAGGUGUGAGACACUGGUGGAGGUUGCGGUGGGGUGUGGGUGUGGUGUGUCUGCUUCGGGAAUGAGAGUUGCAGAGAUAUGUGUGGUAAAGGUAGGAGAGGCAUGGAGAGUUGCAGAGAUGGGAGAGGAAUGAAGAGUUGCAAAUAUGGGAGAGAAUGAUCAAGAUAAGAGAGAGUGAGUGAGCCAAGGUGACAAUGUUCUCGAGAUUGAGAACUGUCACGGGAUGCCUGGGAGACAGUAAUCUUUUCAAAAUUGGGAUGUUACACAAACGGGACCCCGGGUACCCAUUUUUUUUAUAAUUUUGGACUCAGCCCACCCCUAAAAUUCUAAAGCCCUGCCCUGCCCCGCCCCGUUUCUCUUUUUAAAAAUUAAGAACCAUCCCGUACCCGCCUCGACCCGCGGUUCCUGUACCCGUUUGCCCACCCCUACCUUAUAAUAGACUAGCAAUAAUGUGAUUCAAUCAGAUGUUGUGAAUAGUGAUUUUGGUGUCACCAAACUUCAACAAAAAUAUUUAGACAAGAUAAAAAAACUUCAAAGACAUCCCAAAAUAAUGCAUCAAAUAAGGCAGUUUCGUCAUUUUAAUAGUGAUUCACAAUAAGCUAGCAAUAAUGUAAUUUAAUUUCUCUAUUUUUAAACACGUUCAAAACAUUUUAAGAGGCGUGUAAUGCCGGUUAUAAAAAAGGCAUUUCACAUGCGGAUAAUAAUAUGAUUAAAUAAGUUGUCAAAUGAUUGUUUUUUUUUUCUUUUCAACAAACAAUAUUAUCUAUACUAAAGGAAGGGGGUGGGCUUAGCCUCACAAUGAGUUAACAAUAAUGUGAUUCAAUCAGUUGUUUAUUCAAUAUUAUUUUCUCUAUUUUUAAACACUUUCAAAACAUUGUAAGAAGCGUGUAAUGCCGGUUAUAAAAAAAGUCUUUCGCACGCGGAUAAUAAUGUGAUUAAAUUAAUUGUCAAAUGACUGUUUUUUUUUUUUUUUUUUACAAACGAUAUUAUCUACACUAAGGGGGAAGAGGGUAGGCUUAGUCUCACAAUGGGCUAGUAAUAAUGUAAUUCAAUCAAUUAUUUAUUAAAUAUUAUUUUCUCUAUUCUUAAUGUAAAUUCUAUAGAGACCGAUUUUAUUAUGUGAAUUCAGUUGCUUAAUUGAUUUAUGAGGGAUUUCUUCUAGCAUGAUCUAAAAGUAUUCAUUUACUUCAAAUAUUUGACUUUCCUUUUGUCAAUUUACACAUAUAAAUACAUUUAAAACGUAUAAGUCGAGCAUAGCACGUUGUGAUUCAAUGAAGGCUAGUAAUCUAUAAAACCCACAUCAUAAAAAUUCAACUUCAUCUCUUGCCAAACCCACACUACUCAAAACAACCACAGAUUGAAGAUUUUGAUAGAAAAAUUGGAUUGAAAAAGGAUAAAAAAAUAAUUGAUAGAGAACUCAAAAAUAAGCAAGCUUAAGCACGAACUUAAUCACCACAAAAGGGACUAAAAAAAUUAGUAUGUCAUCAAUGUGUGAUAAAAAAAAUCACUUGGUGGCUUAACCACAACAGUUUACCUUUUUGAGGACCAAAAAGACUUACAGAGUCACUUCAGCAUCUCUUUAACCAAUAUUGUGUGAUUUAUACGUUUCAAGAAUCUAUCUCAAAACAUACCGCAAAUAAAAUAUGAGUCUGAAAUACAUUUUUAAUCAGUGGGUCAUCCCGAAGCAGUUAUAGACCAUUAUUCAAUGUAUAAAAAUCACAAGUGCUAGACCAAUUCCAGGGCAGAGUUUUUUUGUAAGGUUAUUUUCGUUGGACCAGACCAAUUCCAGGGCAGAGUUUUUUUGUAAGUUAUUUUCGUUGGACCAGACCAAUUCCAGGGCAGAGUUUUUUUGUAAGGUUAUUUUCGUUGGACCAAUGAUAUUAAAAUUAUGCAUAGAUCACACAGAAGACAAUCCUAUCUUACUUGCAAGUUGCAUCGAACAGACAAGUAAAGGGUCCAAACCAACCAUGUCAUAAAUAAUCAAGUUCUUCAUAAUGGAUUUGGAUCCUCUCCUGAACUAAUGGAGGGGAUCCUCCUGACUAGUUAUUAUGGGCCAUUAGAUUUUUAUCCAACGGCUAUAAAUAGAGAAGCCACUUUAAAGUUAUAAUAAUUAUAACCGUUAGAUUUUUAUUUAAUGGUUCAUGAUAACUGGUCAGGAGGAUCCUCUCCAUUAUCUCCAGAGAGGAUCCAAAUCCCUUCAGAAUAACCAAAUUCGUCGAGAAAAACGUGGGACCGUGCAAUUUAACGACUUGAUCGUUCUUUAAUAAAUUGUAUAUAGACAAUAAAAUAUUAUGGGAUAAGUUUAAAUAAUAAGUAUAAAGCCAUCUCGAAAGUCGUCGAAGAAAUAUCACACUAUUCACGAAUCAGCUUGAUUGCUCCUUAAUUCAACAUUUGACUAAUGAGUUUAUAAUAUUAAAAAUAAUAAAUUAUAAUAUCAGACAACGUGGCAUAUGCGGGAUCAUAUGUUAAUUAUUUGAGGUUUCUUUGAGGGUGACCCAACUUGUUAUAAAAAUCACAAGCGCUAGAUCAAUUCCAGUUUAGAGUGUUUUUUGUAAGGUCAUUUUCUUGGGGGUAGUGAUAUUAAAUUACAUGGAAGACAACCUCAUCUACUUGUAAGUUGCAACGAACAGACAAGGAAGGGUUGAAUGUCUCAUUUUUCUAUCUUUAAUCAACCACGUCACUCUUAAUUAAAUAGAAAAGUAAUCAAUCACGUAAUUGACGAGUGAGAAAAGUCUUCCAAAAACUACAUAAUGUAGCACCAAUAUGAAUAAUUGCUAUAAAAAAAAAGCACAAAUGAAGCAACCUUAGGAGAACACCAAAGCAGCAGUUGCUGCCUUUUCCAAAUGGUUCCCCCGUUCUUCUAAAAAAAACUCUUAAACUACCAAGGUUUUGUUUUCAUGUGGUAGAAACAUGGAAACUCGUAAAUAACUAAUUAUUUAUAUUAUUACACGUAUUAAUUAUGUUUAAAAGAUAAAAUUAAAUAUAUGCGGGUCGGUUUGGUUAAUUGCACCCUAAGAAUUUUGAUAAUCGAUUAAGGUCAGUGCAGUUUGGUUUAGCCAUCGAAUUUUUUUUUUUAAAAGCCCAAACCAAACCAAACCGCCAGUGCAAUUUGGGCGGUUUAGUUGGUUUUUUAUUUUUUUAAUGCCCAGCCCUAUGUUCUACGUAGAACCCGACAUAAUUUUUUCUCUCAAUAACUAAGAUCCACAUAAGCAAAUUCAUCAAUUAUACUUUACUUAAAAUUUUUUUUUUACAUUUUCAAAUGCUUCAAAUAUUCCUAUUGCAUGUUUGAUGUACACAAUUAAUUCUAUAUGGGCUCUUUUAGGUUUGAUUAUCAUCAAAGAUAAAUUUGAAUCAUAUUAUUACAAACCCAUUGUAAGGCUUAGCUCACUCCCCCACCCUUUUAAUGUAGAUAAUAUUGUUUGCUUAAAAACAAAACAACAAUCUAUCUUUUACCUUUUAGUUGGUCAUAAUUUUUUCAUUUCACCCCUCAACAUACCUCAGAGAUAAAAAGUUACCUAUUUCAAUACAAUCAUACGUACUAAACGAUCCCAUAUUACUCCUAUAUAUACGUGUGUGUAUGACAAGGCGAUAAAUCAACUUAAGCCUUUGCCCAGUUCAUUGCUCAGUUCAGUAAAAAUCAUUUUGUCUCUAGCUUUCUAAUUAUUGAGUUGCAAAAAUGGAUUCUCUCCCAUAUGUAAACUCUAUCACUGCUGGCUUGUUCACAGUAAUCAUCGUGUUCUAUUACUUGUCACGAAGAUGGAGAGCUGCAAAUCACAAGCGCAAAUUAUCACCACCUGAAGCCAAGGGCGGUUGGCCUAUAUUUGGUCACCUUCCUUUGUUUGGAGGCUCCAUACCUCCUCACUUAACUUUGGGAGCCAUGGCGGACAAGUACGGACCCAUUUUCACUAUCCGCCUUGGCGUCCAUCCGUCGUUGGUGAUAAGCAGCAGUGAGAUCGCAAAAGAAUGCUUCACAACCAAAGACUUGAGCAUAAUCUCACGCCCAAGGAUGGUGGUUCUAGACCACGUUAGCUACGACUACGCCAUGUUUGGGUUCGGACCAGGUGGACCCUUUUGGCGAGAAAUUCGCAAGCUAGUCACCUUGGAGUUGCUCUCAGUCCGGAAGGUUGAGCUGCUCAAGCACAUUCGAGUGUCGGAAGUGGCUACUUUCUUAAAAGAAUUGCACGAACUUUGGAGUACAAAGAAAAAGGAGGGCUCGAAAGAUGGAGUGGUUGUAGAGCUAAAGCAAUGGCUUGGGGACAUGACGCUGAACGUGAUUCUUACAAUGGUGGCCGGAAAGCGGUAUUCCGUGGCUGCCGCUGGGGAUGAGAAGAAAGAAGCGCGUAAGGUUCAGACUGCAUUGAGGGAGUUAUUUGAUUAUCUGGGCAUGUUUUUGCUGGGUGAUGCGGUUCCUUAUCUGCGGUGGUUGGAUUGGGGUGGACAUGAGAAGGCAAUGAAGAAAAGUGCAACGGA
rnacentral:lncRNA from 1 species